rnacentral:lncRNA from 1 species
UUUCUUUCUUUUUGUUCUGCAUCCAAUUCCUUGCAAAUCCUUGUGAGAUCUUAAGUGCCUAGUGAGCUGAGGUGACAAGUGUUUUACUGUGAUGAACUCGGUCACACCGGUUUGUUUUCUUCGGCCCAACCGAAUUCUCGGUGCCACCGAAGCACACAACUCGGUGCUACCGAUUUCACUACAGGAAAGACAACUUGCCAUUUAUUUCUGCAGUCUUUUUGCUCCAGCUCCACUCAAUGACUCUUGUUCUCUACCAGCAUCACAGUCGCUUUGCUUUGUGACUCAAGGACCAAACCCUUUUGCAAUAAAACAAAAAUCCAGAAGAUCCCUUCUUGGAAAUUGAUGUCAAAGGGGGAGAGAGGGAUCACAUCAAAGCUCUAUGCUUAAUCAUUUCUGUAGGGGGAGAGGAUACUCAGGGGGAGUAUGUGUCAACAUAUUUCUUGCUGGACUAAUGUUUCUACCUAGUAUGUUUCAGAUAAGUUCAACAAUGGAGUGGCAUGGACUAGGGGAUGUGGAACCCCUUCAAUAUGCUAAGGACAAAGGAUUGGCUCAAGCUCAAAGCUCGGGACUCUACAUUUUCUAUUUUAGUGAUCGAAGAUCACAUUGAGUCCAUAGGGAAGCCAAUACUAUUAAGAAGGGAUGCGGUGUUGCUUAAUGGCUUGCUUGCUCAAUGUGCUUAGUGAUAUGCUCCAAAGCCCUCAACCACUUCCUCACUUCCAAAUAUGUCUCAAACCAAAAGUCAAUCUCGGCCCCACCGAUUCUUUCUAUCCGGCGCCACCGAGUUCACUUGACAUAGCCACUGCCACAAACCCUAGUCUUUUCGGUCUCACCGAUAGGGAUCUCGGUCCCACCGAGAUGGGAUUGCAAACUCUCUGUUGCCUAUUGCAAUAAUCUCGGUCUCACCGAGAUAUGCAAUCGGUCCCACCGAGUUCGCAAUGCAAACUCUCUGUCACCCCUUCGUAACGUUUCGGUCUAACCGAGAUGAGCGAAUCGGUCCCACCGAGUUUGCCUGACCAACUCUCUGUUUGACUAUUACCAAAAUCGGCCCUACCGAGUUUGUGUAAUCGGUCUCACCGAGAUUACAUUAUGCCCUAACCCUAAUGAUAUCGCUCCCACCCAGUUGACAUGUCGGUCCCACCGAAACACCUAACGGUCACAUUAGGAACCAAAUCGGUCUGACCGAGUUCUCUGAAUCGGUCCCACUGAGUUUGGUGAUUUGUGUGUAACGGUUAGAUUUUGUGUGGAGGUUAUAAAUACCCCUCCACCCCCUCUUCAUUCGUGGAGAGAGCCAUCAGAACAUGCCUACACUUCCAAUACAUAUUUUCUGAGAGAGAACCACCUACAGUUGUGUUGAGGUCAAGAUAUUCCAUUCCAACCACAUAAAUCUUGAUCUCUAGCCCUCUCCAAGUUGCUUUCCACUCAAAUCUUCUUUCUACCAAAUCCAAUCCUAUGAGAGAGAGUUGAGUGUUGGGGAGACUAUCUUUUGAAGCACAAGAGUAAGGGAGUUCAUCAUCAACACACCAUUUGUUACUUCUUAGAGAGUGGUGUCUCCUAGAUUGGCUAGGUGUCGCUUGGGAGCCUCCGACAAGAUUGUGGAGUUGAACCAAGGAGUUUGUAAGGGCAAGGAGAUCGCCUACUACGUGAAGAUCUACCCUAGUGAGGUAAGUCCUUCGUGGGUGACGGCCAUGGUGGGAUAGACAAGGUUGCUUCUUCGUGGACCCUUCGUGGGUGGAGCCCUCCGUGGACUCGCGCAAGGAUUACCCUUCGUGGGUUGAAGUCUCCAUCAACGUGGAUGUACGAUAGCACCACCUAUCGGAACCACGGAUAAAAAAUCUCCGUGUCUCCAAAUUGUGUUUGCACACUCCAAUCCCUUCUCUUAACAUUCUUGCAACUUUAAUGCUUUACUUUCCGCUGCUCAUAUACUCUUUGUAUGCUUGCAUGAUUGCUUGAUAUGUAUUGUGAAUGUUUAAACUUGUGCUAAUACUCCACUUCAACUUAAGAGAAUUAAAAACUGCAACUUUUCUUGAUUAGAGUCUAUUCACCCCCCUCUAGACACCUCUUCUCGAUCCUUUCACAUUUUAAUAGAGGUGUUGUGAUCAGCACUACUGGUUGGAAUAGCUUCUACCCAUUUAGUAACAUAAUCAACAGCAACCAAAAUAUGUGUAUACCCAUUAGAGGAAGGAAAAGGUCCCAUGUAAUCAAAUCCCCAAACAUCAAAUGGUUCAACAGCAAGUGAAUAAUUCAUAGGCAUUUCUUGACGCUUACCGAUAUUACCUAUUCUUUGACAUUCAUCACAAGAUAAGACAAACUGACGGGCAUCCUUGAAGAGAGUAGGCCAAUAAAAUCCAGAUUGCAAUACCUUGUGAGCAGUUCUGUCUCCAGCAUCAUCCCCUCCAUAAGCUUCGGAGUGACAUUUCCGUAGGAUUUGUCCCUGUUCAUGCUCAGGUACACAACGUCUAAUAAUACCAUCUACUCCUUCUUUAUAAAGAUGUGGGUCAUCCCAAAAGUAAUGUCUUAAGUCAUAGAAGAAUUUUUUAUUUUGUUGGUAUGUAAAGCUAGGUGGUAAAUAUUUAAAACAAUGUAAUUAGCAUAAUGAGCAUACCAAGGAGUAUUAUUAGAAACAUUUAUUGCAGCUAACUGCUCAUCAGGGAAACUAUCAUCAAUAGGUAGUGGGUCAUCAAGCACAUUUUCAAGCCUAGACAAGUUAUCAGCUACUGGGUUCUCAGCUCCUUUCCUAUCAGUAAUAUGUAAAUCAAAGUCUUGUAGCAAGAGAACCCAUCGAAUAAGUCUAGGUUUAGCAUCUUUCUUUUCCAUAAGAUAUUGAAUAGCAGCAUGGUCGGUGUGAACGAUAACUUUAGAGUCAACAAUGUAAGAUCUUAAUUUAUCACAAGCAACACCACUGCUAAGAAUUCUUUUUUAGUAGUAGCAUAAUUUCUUUGAGCACUGUCUAGAGUUUUACUAGCAUAAUGAAUAACAUUCAGUUUCUUAUCAACUAUUUGUCCUAGAACAGCACCAACAGCAUAAUCACUAGCAUCACACAUUAUUUCAAGAGGCAAGUUCCAAUCGGGUGGUUGAACAAUAGGUGCAGAAACUAAGGCUUUCUUGAGUGUUUUGAAGGCUUCUAAACAAUCAUCAUCAAAAACAAAAGGAACAUCCUUUUGCAAAAUAUUUGUAAGAGGCCUAGAAAUUUUAGAGAAGUCUUUGAUAAAUCUCCUAUAGAAAAGCAUGACCUAGGAAACUAGGAAUACCUUUGAUAUCUUUAGGACACGGGAUUUUCUCAAUUGCAUCAACCUUAGCUUUGUCCAGUUCAAUACCUCUUUCAGAAAUUUUAUGGCCCAAAGCAAUACCUUCAUUAACCAUAAAGUGGCACUUCUCCCAAUUCAAGACGAGAUUUGUUUGCUCGCAUCUCUGCAAAACUCGAUCAAGAUUGCUCAAACAAUCAUCAAAAGACUUCCCAUAAACAGAGAAGUCAUCCAUGAAAACCUCAACAAUAUUUUCACAAAAGUCAGAGAAUAUAGCAGUCAUACAUCUUUGAAAUGUAGCAGGUGCAUUGCAUAAACCGAAAGGCAUACGUCUAUAAGAAUAAGUUUCAAAGGGACAAGUGAAAGUGGUCUUUUCUUGAUCAGGUUGAGAAACAGGUAUUUGUGAAAAACCAGAAUACCCAUCAAGGAAGCAAAAGUAUGUGUGCUUAGAUAAUCUUUCUAGCAUUUGAUCAAUAAAAGGCAGAGAGUAAUGAUCUUUUCUAGUUGCUUUGUUUAAUUUUCUAAAAUCAAUUACCAUUCUAUAGCCUUUAACAAUUCUUUGUGGAAUAAGUUCAUUCUUAUCAUUAGGAACAACAGUAAUACCUCCUUUCUUAGGAACACAAUGGACAGGACUUGCCCAUCUACUAUCAGCUAUAGGAUAGAUUAUACCUGCUUCCAGAAGUUUUAAUAUCUCCGUUCUUACCACUUCUUUCAUCUUUGGAUUUAGCCGACGUUGGUGAUCAACAACGGGUUUAGCAUCAGGUUCCAUAUUAAUCUUGUGCUGACAUAGAGUGGGACUAAUGCCCUUUAAAUCAUCAAGAGUAUAUCCAAUAGCAGCUUGGUGCUUCCUUAGAACUUUCAAUAAUCUUUCUUCUUCAUGUUCUGAAAUGUUAGCACUAAUAAUAACAUGAUAUAUCUUAUUUUCAUCAAGAUAAGCAUAUUCAAAGUGUAGCAAUUGUUUUAAUUCAAACACAUGAUAACCUUUAGGUGGAGGAGGACCUCCUAGAGUUUCUAUAGGCAAAUUGUGUUUAAGCAGAGGAUGUUGUUCAAAGAAAAUCUUCUCUAUUUCAUUUCUUUCAUGCAUAUGUAAAUCAUUUUCAUGGUAUAACAAAUAUUGUUCUAAAGGAUCAAUAGGAGGCACAACAAUAGAAGCAAGACCAAUUAUUUCAUCCUUACUAGGCAAUUCUUUUUCAUGAAGCUUUCUACUAAACUUGGAAAAAUUAAACUCAUGAGACUCAUCACCAAAACUGACACCGAUAGUUUAUUUCUUACAAUCUAUUUGAGCAUUAACGGUGUUCAAGAAAGGUCUACCAAAGAUAAUGGGACGGAAGUCAUCUUGUGGGGAACCAAGAACAAUAAAAUCAGUAGGGUAUUUUAUUUUCCCACACAAGACUUCAACAUCUCUAACAACCCCAAUUGGUGAAAUAGUAUCUCUAUUAGCAAGUUUAAUAGUAACAUCUAUGUCUUCUAUCUCUGCGGGUGCUAUGUCAUUCAUAAUUUCUUGAUAUAAGGUGUAAGGAAUAACACUUACGCUAGCACCUAUGUCACAUAAACCAUGAUAACAGUUAUAUCCUAUUUUAACUAAGACAACGGGCAUGCCAACAACGGGUCUAUGAUUAUCUGUUUUAUCGGGUUUGACAAUUCUAGUAGCUUCAUUAUAGAAGUAAAUAACAUGCCCAUCUAUAUCUUCUUCCAAGAGAUCUUUAACCAUAGCAACAAUAGGCUCUACUUUAAUUUGUUCAUCUGGUUUAGGUGUUCUAAUAUAACUUUUGUUGACCACAGUCGAUACUUUAGCAUGUUCCUUUAUCCUAACAGGGAAAGGUGGUUUCUCAAUAUAAGCAGUAGGAACAACUGGAUCAACAUUAUAAAGUAUAAUUUCCUCUUUAACUGGUACCGGUUCUUUAAUUUCUUCUUUAAUAGGUGGGUGAUAUUUAAACCACUUCUCUUUAGGGAGAUCAACAUGAGUAUCAAAUGAUUCACAAAACGAUGCUACUAUCUCAGAGUCAAGUCCAUAUUUAGUGCUAAACUUUUGAAAAGCAUCGGUAGUCAUAAAAGAUUUAACACAAUCAUACUUAAGCUUAAUACUGACUCUUUACCUUCGCCGAGUUCCCAAUCUUCAGAGUUGCAUUUAUUCUUUCCAAAAGAUCCCACCGGAAUUCAAUAGUCUUCUUCAUAAAAGAACCAGCACAAGAAGUAUCAAGCAUGUAUCGAUCAUUGUGAGAAAGCCGAGCGUAAAAAUUCUGGAUAAUAAUUUCUCUUGAGAGCUCAUGAUUGGGGCAUGAAUAUAACAUUGAUUUAAGCCUCCCCCAAGCUAGAGCGAUACUUUCUCCUUCACGAGGCCAAAAAUUAUAUAUGUAAUUCCGAUCACGGUGAACUAGAUGCAGGAUAAUUUUUUUCGUGAAACUCCAAUUUCAAUCGAUUCCAAUUCCAAGCUCCAAUAUCAUCACAUAGCCUAUACCAUGUCAAUGCUUUUCCCUUAAAAGAUAAAGGGAAAACCUUCGUCAUAACUUCAUCUCCGGGUAAACCUGUAAGCUUAAACAAUCCACAAAUUUGUUCCACAUAUAUCAAGUGCAUAUCAGGAUGUUCGGUUCCGUCUCCUGCAUAAGGAUUAGCUAGAAGUUGUUCUAUCAUACCUGAAGGAAUUUCAUAUUCAAUAUUUUUAGUAGGUGCAGUAGGUUGAGGGGUAGCUAAUUGUGGUUCUGGUCGAGGUGAAGAUACCCUGAACAAACACCUCAAAGGAUUGUUUUCCAUAGUAACAAGUGACAAUAAUUUCAGCACGUUAUAUAAAUGUUUCCUUACAAAAUUCCACUUACCAAAGGCGCUUCACUCCCCGGCAACGGUGCCAGAAAAUAGGCUUGAUGACCCAAAAGUAUAGGGGAUCAAUUGUAGCUCUUUUCGUUAAGUAAGAGUGUUGAUCCCAACGAGGAGCAGAAGGAAAUGACAAGUGGUUUUCAGCAAGGUAAUGUCUGCAAGUCCUGAAAUUGUAAGUAACAGAGUAGUUUGAUAGCAAGAUAAUUUGUAACGAGAAAGUGAUGACAACAGUAACAAAAGUGCAGCAAUAUUGCCCAAUCCUUUUGAGGCAAAGGACAGGCAAAAACGGUCUCUUAUAAUAAGCAAAGCGUUCUUGAGGGUACACGGGAAUUUCAUCUGGUCACUUUCAUCAUGUUGAUUCGAUUUGUGUUUGCUACUUUGAUAAUUUGGUAUGUGGGUGGAUCGGUGCUUAGGUGCUGUUCUUACUUGAACAAACCUCCUACUUAUGAUUAACCCCCUCGCAAGUAUCCGCAACUACGAGAAAAGUAUUAAGAAUAAAUUCUAACCAUAGCAUUAAACUUUUGGAUCCAAUCGGCCCCCUACGGAAUAGCGCAUAAACUAGGGUUUAAGCUUUUGUCACUCUCGCAACCCAUCAUCUAAUAACUACUCCACAAUGCAUUCCCUUAGGCCCAGAUAUGAAGUGUCAUGUAGUCGACGUUCACAUGACACCACUAAGGGAAUCACAACAUACAUACUAUCAAAAUAUCGAACACAUAUCAAGUUCACAUGAGUACUUGCAACAUGAUUUUUCCCGUGACCUCAAGAACAAAGGUUACUACUCACAAGUGAUAAACAUGCUCAAGAUCAGAGGGGUAUUAAAUAGCAUAUUGGAUCUGAACAUAUAAUCUUCCACCAAAUAAACCAUAUAGUAAUCAACUACAAGAUGUAAUCAACACUACCCGUCACCCACAAGCACCAAUCUAUAGUUCGGGUACAAAGAUUGAACACAAGAGAUGAACUAGGGUUUGAGAGGAGAUGGUGUUAUUGAACAUGUUGAUGGAGAUUGCCCUCCCCAAGAUGGGAGAGUUGUUGGUGAUGAUGAUGACGAUGAUUUCCCCCUCCGGGAGGGAAGUUCCCCCGGCGGAAUCGCUUCGCCGGAGGGCAAAAGUGCUCCUGCCCAAGUUCCGCCUCGAGGCGGCGGCGCUCCAUCCCGAAAGACCUCUCCUUAUUUUUUUGUAGGUCAAAAUGACUUAUAUGCUAGAAGAUGGGCACCGGAGGUGGGCCUGGUUGAGCACAGCCCACCAGGGCGCGCCUGGGCUCCCUAGUGUGCCCAGGUGGGUUAUGCCCACCUGGUGGGCCCCCUCCGGUACUUAUUUGCUCUAAUAUUCUUCAUAUAUUCCAUAAAAAUUCUGUGUAAAGUUUCAGCUUGUUUGGAGUUGUGCAGAAUAGGUAGCCUGACUUAGCUUUUCCAGGUCCAUAUUUCUAGCUGCCGAAAUUCUCCCUCUUUGUGUGUACCUUGCAUAUUAUGAGAGAAAAGGCAUUAGAAAUAUUCCAAAAGCAUUAUUAUGCAUAAAUAACAGUAUGAAAACAUGAUGUAAAAUGGACGUAUCAAAGGUUAACUCAUAAGAGUUUUGGAAAAACAACAUUGUGGUUGCCAAAUUGGAAUACUUGUGACAUAAGGUUUCACAUGCAAGUUUCAAAGUAUUAAGGUUCAUCACAUAAGGAGUAUGUGGUGUCAAGUCGUGGUUGUGAGAUCCAUUCAAACAGAAUUUCAACAAGAGAGUCAAGGUCUAUGAAUCUUGGAUAGCCAAGUUCAUGUUCAAGUUUGACUGACAAUUCAAACUGGUUGACCUUUCAUGAGCUUGAAUACACUAAGUGUCUAAAAAAUAAUAACUUGGUCUAGAUUCCAAUUCAAUUUGGAUUUGAAUUAGGGUUCAUCGUAUUUGAAAUCAAGUUGCAUUGAGCUCCAUAUUUGAUUUGGUUUCACUAAAUUGAACUGAAUUAUGAAUCCUUUCAUACUCAUUAAGUUGGUUAAAUUCAACUCCUAAAUAAUUAAUGCUUCUCUAAAUUCAAGUACAAAUUUACAAUUUCUAAUGUUUAGUUUAUUUGAUCUUAGUUUGAACUAAAGUCAAAUAUAAAUCCAAUAAUAUGACUAAGUUCAUUUCUUUAAAUCAAACAAAGUCAAACACAAUCCAAGUGAUCUACUAUGUGCAAAUAUUUGUCAAACUCUAUUUGAAUUUAAUUUGCAUCUUUUCCUAAAGUCAAUUAUUAAAUCCAAAAUAAUUAUUAGGUUUAAUUUAGUUCACUUAACCAUAUUGCAUUAGUUUUAUUCAAAUUAAACCUAGGGUUUCAAAGUUAUACCAAUAUGAGUAUGGAUUAAUUCAAAUGUUAUUUGAAUUUCCUAAAGUCUAAUAAUAAUAAUAAAUAUCACUAAACUUCAUUUUUAGUUUGUGAACCUAGUUGCAACAUAAUUGUUCAGUAAAACAUUUUUUAAUUAAAAGAUAAACCUAAAUAGGGAUUAAAUACAAUUUGAAUUACUACUACCGCUAAACUAUAUUUCAAUUCUAAUCUUAAUUUAUUAUAAAAUUAUCCUAUAGUGGCUAAGAUAAAACUACAUUUCACUAGGUUCAAUCUGCAAAAAAUAAUCAAUGUAUUUGGAUUUAUUAUUUGCAAGUUAUGCCCUAUUUGAAUUUGAAAUUAUUCUAUUUGAAUUUGACCGUUAAACUAUUCAAAUUCUAAAUUUUAUUAGUCUAGGUGAAUGUGGGGUCAUUUUGCAAAACGAACCAUUCAAUUUGGACUUGUAGAUAAUGGAUGGAGCCAUUGAACCUUCUGGCGACAACACAAUGGAACUCUCAAUGAAAGCACCAAUGUCGGUGUCAAAACCGGCGGAUCUCGGGUAGGGGGUCCCGAACUGUGCGUCUAAGUUUGAUGGUAACAGGAGACGGGGGACACGAUGUUUACCCAGGUUCGGGCCCUCUUGAUGGAGGUAAUACCCUACUUCCUGCUUGAUUGAUCUUGAUGAAUAUGAGGAUUACAAGAGUUGAUCUACCACGAGAUCGUAAUGGCUAAACCCUAGACGUCUAGCAUGUAUAAUUGUGAUUGCCUCUACGGACUAAACCCUACGGUUUAUAUAGACACCGGAGGGGCCUAGGGUUGUACAGAGUCAGUUUACAGAGGAAGGAAUCUUCAUAUACAAACGCCAUGCUUGCCAUCCACGCAAAGGAGAGUCCCAUCCGGACACGGGAGGAAGUCUUCUAUCUUGUAUCUUCAUGGCCCAUCAGUCCGGCCCACGUCACAUAGCCCGGACGCCUGAGGACCCCUUAAUCCAGGACUCCCUCAGUAGCCCGUGAACCAGGCUUCAAUGACGAUGUGUCCGGCGUGCAGAUUGUCUUUGGCAUUGCAAGGCGGGUUCCUCCUCCGAAUACUCCAAAGUAGUCCUCGAACACAGAGAACGUGUCCGGCUCUGCAAAACAAGCUCCGCAAAGAGUAUAACAUUUAACAAGUCCCAUCUACUAAUAUCAUUUGUAGUGAGACGCCACGUCUCUGCACGGUCAUUAUUUCGAACCGUUUUUUAGCCUCCCACUCCGUGUUUCGAGAUGCGGUUUCCAUUGGCACGUCUUGUCAAAGUAGAGAUCGUGUCCCCUUAUCACGGGAUCCUCAUCAAUAUGGGUGUGGCUAAUCCAACCGUGUUGUUAGCGAUCCCUUGGGAAUAGGCGAGCUUUAAGGCCCGUGAGGAGGCGUUCGAUAUUCUUCGCCUUUAUAAAGGGGUAUAGAUCCGUCUUUCUCCCCCCACGCCUACCUCUUCCUCAACCUUCCCAACCCCAGGCUCCAAUGCCCAGGAUUCAAUUUCUUCCAUUGUUACCAGGCCCUCUAGUUAUGUCCGGAUCCAUCUCCCAAGGUAGGUGGGCAGCCUCCUCGGUCACCGAGGAGGAUAUCGCGAAGCUUCGGAAGGCGAGGUACCUGAUUGCGGAAAUCCCCCACAGGCUCCCUACUAAAGGGCAGGUCAUCCCCACACCAAAAUCCGGCGAGAGGGUGUUAUUCAUCUCCCACUUCCUCCGUGGGCUAGGGUUAGCUCUUCACCCCUUCGUUCGCGUCCUCAUGUUCUAUUAUGGACUAGAUUUUCACGAUCUAACUCCGGACUCUUUUCUCCACAUCUCGGCGUUCGUCGUCGUGUGCGAAGCCUUUCUCCACAUCCCCACACUUCAGCCUAUGGAUUAAGACUUUCAAGGUGAAGCCGAAGCUAGUCAACGGGGAACAAGCGGAGUGCGGUGGUGCUAUGGUGAGCAAGCUUGCCAACACUAUCUGGCCAAAAGGCACCUUCAUGGAAACCUCCAACUCAUGGCAACAUGAGUGGUUCUAUAUCACCGAACCCCGCGGCACCAAAUGGGCAGCCGCACCUGUGUUCCGAUCUGGCCCUCCAUUGCGGCUCGCAUCAUGGAUAAACAAGGGGCUAGACUGGGGAUCAGCCGAUGAAGCAUAGACACUGCAAAGUCGUAUCCGGAGUAUCCUUGAAAGGGAUGUUAGCAUUAUCAACGUGAUCCAAGUGAUGCUAGUCCACCGGAUCCUCCCGUGCCAGCGACGGCCUCUCCGUAUGUGGGAGUUCAAUCCGGAAGGACCGCGGACCCUUCAAAAAUUCUUCGGCACAAUGCACGAAGGGAUGUGGAAACUAUUCUUCAAGACUCGAAAGCAGUGGCCAGACACAUCAGAGGACAUCGGUCUCGACUGCAACCAUCCGGAUACCUUGGUAAGCACCCAAUUUCUGACCUCAACUCGGCUGAUUAUCCCAUAGCGAUGUACUGAGAGUUCUAUCUUUGACCAAGGCUGGAUAAAGAAGGCAGAAUGAAUUAGGUGUUCAGCUCCACUUCCCGAAGACUCGGUCGAUCCUAUGUUGACGUGGAUGCUGGUCCCGGGGCUGUAUCAAGUGCCAGCGCAAGAGGGCAAGAAGAAGAGCGAAGAGGCCGAAAGCGGCCUCCACUCUGCAGGUAUGUCGGACACUAUGUCCGGGGAGACUGAAGCUCUCUCUUCAAAAGAUGAAGGGGAAGGAGAAGGUGAUAUCCCUUCCCCUCAUGGGAGGAAAAGGACUGCAUCCGAAGACUUGGAGGUGGAAGCACGUAAGAGAGGGAAGGUGUCCCUUCCAUAUGGUUCAGGUUCCGAAGCCGAUGCCAUCGCAAGGCGCCUCUCUAGGGACAAGCCCCUUGCCGAAUCGUAAGUGAACAAGGAUGCUCUAGACAUAUCCCAUUCUUUUCGGGUUGCAGGGGUAACAUCUAAACUAUAUGCUUGCAGUUCGGCCCACAGUCCACCCCGACAGUCCUCCUCAUCAAGGGACUUAACUCCGGGGGUGAUGGAAAGCGAGACGCCUUCUCAUGCUUCCUCGCCUCUUAGGGUGGACGACUUCGAGGUGUCAUCUCAGAGAAUCUCCCCUGACCAUCAAGCAGCAUGGGGGACGAUGAAAACAACGCCCGAGGGUGGUACUUCGAUCAUCAAGGGUCCAGGGGCGAAGCCCCUACGGGGGCCAGCAAUGAAGGCCCCGAUCUAUCCGGCUUACAGCCGAAGACGACUCUAGGGUCGAGCCAAUGCACCCCUUUGAAGGGAAUGCAUAUUCCCGCAGCAGCCUCCAGGAAUCCGGAGGUGCCGGAUACUCUGAUUAGCACAUUACAAAGUGUAUCCAUUUCACAGGAACAUCGUACCUUAAUGGGUAUGGUAGUUGAAAGGGUUCUGUCCGCGAGAAGCGGAUUGAAUGAAGCCUUCAUGGGCCUGUUGAGAAGCUUCGAGGUAUGCGAUGUAAUAGCUUAACUAUUUUUAUGUGCACAAUGCGCCCGUGUACAGAUAGUAGCCCCUGAGGCUCUGGUCGGCUUCCACAGGGAGGCGAUCAGAGGAUCAAAAAAGAUAUGCUCAGGAAGUAACCUAAUUAAUUCGAACACAGGCUGUUACGUCCAUGGCGACCGCCCAAGCUACGGAAGUUGCAGAUCUAAAGCAGAAACUUGAGUUAGCGGAUGAGGACAUCACUCUUAUUAACAGGCGGCUCGAUGAGGCACAAGGUAUGUGUUGGGGCAGCUUGUUUAUGCAUGUAUACUAGUAUGAGCACGAGGCUGAAAAUCAUAUACUGUGACAUGAAUAAUUGUAGAUGGUGCUGCCGCGGUUGAGACCCUUCGGGCUGAACUUGCCCGGGCCAAGGAGCAGGCCAGAGUGAGCGACGCAGCUGCCAAGAAGGCGGCUGCGGAUUUAAAGGCUGAACAGGCUGCUCAGUGCCAGUGCCAGGAGAGAAUAUCUACCAUGGGGCGGGAGCUGAAGGAAGCCACUAGCAGGUGCAAAUCUCUCGAGGAGGAUAACAAAGCCAAGGCAGCCAAACUCAACAAGGCCUUACUAGAGGCGAAAGAAGCGCAAUCCGAAUUUAGAGCGGCUCGGGAGGAGAUCCGCAGGCUGGGGAGAUAGCGGCUGGUAAGCCCUUUCUUUUACAGACUAAGUUCGGUGACCCAAAGUAUGCUCUACUUAACCAAAUGUGAAGUUCUCCAGACGCGUUCUUGGAUCGGCCGAAGAGUGUUUCCGACGCAGCGCAGUUCUUCCAAGCACAGCAAGGACGUGCUGCGGAGAGGCUUUUCUGGUCGCAAUUCAACGUGGCAAAGCGUCCGGCGCUGCUGAACGAACAGAUAGCCCAGUGGGCCGAGCUACACAAGAUGUCCGGAGCUACCAUGAAGGACGUCGUGGUUCGGGUAUAGCCAGCCUAACCCGUUCCGAGCAGCUAUUUUGAUUUGGUGCAGAAUCUUGUCGAUGCAGUGCCGCGUAUUGACGCUGUCAAGCGGUCGGUGUGCAUAGAAGGUGCCCGGAUGGCCUUCGCCCGCGUCAAGAUGUACUGGACAAAGAUGAUGGCCACUGAUGUUGCAACCAAGGGUCCGCCUGGAGGCAAGCACCAUUGCACGCCGGAGCAUUAUUUGGAGGACGUCCUAGAGGGCGCCCGCUUGAUAGAGGAUCAGUGCUCGAAGGAUAUUAUAUUUGAAUAAAUGUACUGAAAUUGUGAAAACAAUAUUAUGAUACGUUAAAGCUAUGUUAUAUACCUUUGCCAUUAUUUCCUCCUGUGCGGCCGUUUCUUAUAACCUGAAAGUUUGCCAGUCAUCGGCUUCGGCCCCCUCGCAUAUAAUACGGGGGGUGUUCGGAAUAGCACCUGAUCACUCUUAACCCAACGUCUUGGUCCGAAAUGGAGGUGUCAGUGCGGCGAACUAGGCAAUCGGAAUAUAGGGCUUUAACACCUUCACUUAGCCAUAGGAGUUUUACGGUGGGUCUACUCUGUAGCCCCUGGUAUGUACGCAGUUAUCCGAAUACGGUUGCGUUACAUAGGUGACCAGAAAAAAUGGUCCUUCGUGUAAUACAGAAGAAAUCGCAAAAGAUUCUAAUAAGUCAUCGAGUGGUUGACCAGCUCGCGCCGCAUCAUGAUAGUCAGUUUUUGACUUUCUCUACUGAGGUGUUUGACCAGGUGAACCAGAAACACAAUCGCAGUAGUUCUCCCUUUACUACCCUAGCCGAUAAGACGGAACAUAGGGUAGCAAGCACAGGAGCCAGGCACCAAAGACAUGAUUCGGAGCUAAUGCAUAUAAUGCCAAACUCGUGACGCCGAAGUAUGCUAUAGAGCUGUUCGGACUUUUUUCGGCAACCCAUAUGUUGCCGUAUCAAGCCCCUGGCGAUUUAUGCCGAGGUGUCUCCGUGAAACAACCGAAGAAGCAAGGCACGUUUGUAUGCGGAAAAGCAAAUACUGAAGACGGAUUAUGUUCACUAAAAUCUGAUUGAUACGUCAAACGUAAUCUUACGGAUUAUGACACCACCACCCAGGCCAUUUUACGUGCCAGGGGUCGAGGGCUGAGGAAAAAAGGCUUUGUACAGGUUUCAAAUAGAGUUUUUGGUCUACAAAAAAUCUUUUGGACCUCCUGUCGCACGUCUGCGCUGCCUGUGCUUCCGCGAAAAGGCCUCCUUAGAGGGAGCAAUCCCCGGUUAUUUGUAGGAAAGCCGGGCUCAUAAAGAGUCAUUUUAGGUCCAUAGGACGGGCAGGUGUUCAUUCACCUGUGGCACAAAGAAAAAGAAAAAAAAGGUUAGAAAAGAGAAAAGGCUAAAGUCCGGACGAACCGCUUUGUAGGUCUGUCCGUAUUGUGCCUCCGUCGAUGACCAAGGUAUUUUGAGUGCAUAAUUAUGUAUGCACGGUGCAAACUCUGUGGGUAUAAGAGAUGAACGACGGAGGCGGAGCUGCUAAUCCAGCUCUAAAAUUGACCAGUCCUGUGUAGUAGAGACCGGCGGUUUAAUGACCGAUGAGAUACAAGGCUUGAGGAGGCCGAUUUGUACUUCGGCUGUGAUUGCCAAAGUGUGCCCCUCACUGCGGAGGGAGUGUUCCUUGUUUCCGUUGACCAUUAUGGUGCCGCGUGGACCGGGCAUCUUAAGCUUUAGAUAGGCGUAGUUUGGCACCGCAUUGAAACGAGCAAAAGAGGUCCGCCCGAGCAGUGCGUGGUAGCCAGUGCAGAAUGGGACAAUAUCGAAAAUCAAGUCCUCGCAUCGGAAGUUUUCCGGUGAACUAAAGACGACCUCCAGUGAAAUUGAGCCUCUGUCUUGAGCUUCUAUGCCGGGUAUUACUCCCUUGAAGGUAGUUGUGGUGGGCUUGAUCCUUGAAGGGUCAAUGCCCAUAUUGCAUACAGUGUCUUGAUAGAGUAAAUUGAGGCUACUGCCACCGUCCAUGAGGACUUGCGUGAGAUGGAAUCCGCCGAUAAUUGGAUCGAGGACCAGAGCUGCCGAACCUCCGUGACGGAUACUGGUUGGGUGGUCCUCGUGAUCAAAAGUGAUCGAGCAGGCCGCCCAUGGGUUGAAUUUUGGGCGUUCGGCUUCAUGGCGUGGUCGUCUCGUAGUUCGUGCUUGCGCUCCCUUUCAGAGGUAUGCGUCAUGUAUAUCAUGUUCACUGUUUUUACUUCGGGGGGAAAUUGCUUCUGUCCCCCGGUGCUCGGUAGGCGAGCUCCUCUUCUUCACUGUCAUUGGGCGGCCCCUUCCCUUUGUGUUCGGCAUUGAGUUUGCCGGAUUGUUUGAAAACCCAACAAUUUCUGUUGGUAUGGUUGGUGGAUUUGUCGGGGCUGCCAUGGAUCUGACAGGGCCGAUCCAGUAACUUGUCUAGACUGGAUAGACCAUUUAUGUUUGCCUUGAAUGGCUUCUUCCGUUGACCGGUUUUGGAGCCACUAAAUCCGGCGUUGACCAUUGUGUCUUGGGUUCCCGCGUUAUUGUUGUGACGCCUAUCUUCAUUGCGUCGUGGCUUGCCAUUGCCGUCCCUGACUUCGGAGGUGCCAAGAUCGCCCGCGCUAUUGCUUCUACGAGCGAGCCGGCUAUCUUCUCCAGCGCAGAAGCGGGUCAUUAGUGCGGUGAGAGCUGCCAUGGACUUUGGCUUUUCUUGGCCGAGGUGGCGGGCGAGCCACUCGUCGCGGACGCUAUGUUUGAAGGCUGCCAGUGCUUCGACGUCCAGACAGUCAACAAUUUGGUUCUUUUUAAUUAGGAACCUAUUCCAGAGUUUCCUGGCUGAUUCUCCGGGCUGCUGGAUGAUCUGACUGAGGUCAUCGGCGUCCGGAGGCCGGACAUAUGUACCUUAGAAAUUGUCGCGAAAGGCGUCUUCCAAGUCUUCCCAGCUGCCAAUGGAGUUUUCUCGCAGGCUGUUUAACCAGUGUCGGGCUGGUCCCUUUAAUUUUAGUGGGAGGUAUUUAAUGGCGUGGAGAUCAUCACCGCGGGCCAUGUGGAUAUGGAGAAGAAAAUCCCCAAUCCAUACUGCGGGGUCAGUCGUUCCAUCAUAUGAUUCAAUAUUAAUGGGUUUAAACCCUUCUGGGAAUUCGUGCUCCAUUACUUCGUCAGUGAAGCAGAGGGGGUGUGCGGCGCCUCUAUAUCGGGCGAAGUCGCGACGUAGCUCGGAUGGAGUCCGUCUGCGGUUUUCGGCCCGGACGUGGUUAUGCUUGUCAAGUCCGGCUAGAUAGCGUCGUCGCGCGUCAGGGCACGCCCCCGUGAUCCGUAGAUCGAUCUGGUCUGGCCUGCCCUAUUUUCCAGGUCCUGCCGCAGGUCAUAUGUAUAUCCCCGAGCUGUUGUGUCUCUACCAUUAUGGCGAGGUGGUAUGGGCUGGUGUUCGGCUUGAGUUGCCGUUUUGUCCCGGCCACGUGGUGGUCGGUCAGCUGCGUUACGCACUGAUGGUACGGGCUCGAGUGCCUCGUCAUCAAAUUGAGGUAGCAAUUUACGCUUCGGGUAACUUUUGGUUGGGCGCUCGAGGCUGUAUUCCUCGGCUGCCAAGACAUUAGUCCACCUAUCAUUGAGUAGGUCUUGAUCAGCUUGAAGCUGCUGCUGCUUCUUUUUCAGGCUCCUUGCAGUGGCUAUUAGCCGGCGCUUAAAGCGCUCCUGCUCGAGAGGUUCCUCAGGCACGAUAAAGUCUUUGUCGCCGAAGCUCACCUCAUCCUCGGAGAGUGGAAGAUAAUUACUGUCCUCUGAGUCUUCGUUUACGGCCUGUUCAUCAGGGCUAACUUGCCCAUCUUCCCGAUCAUCCUGUUUGGAGGUUGGCUCGACGGGGUUUUCUUGGUCUUCGUCAUCGUCCGGAGUAUUGUUUUCUCUCAUGCCGGUAUUGCUGUCUUUUCCACGGCGUGAUUUAGAGCAGCGCCGCUGACGUCGGCGCUUUGGUUGUGUCUCAGGAGGUUUAUCUUCGACUAAUUUUUUCUCAUUAUCGCCGUUACCCUCUUUGGGUGUAUCCAUCAUGUACACAUCAUACGAGCAGGUGGACAUCCAGCGUCCGGUAAUCGGCGGGUUUUGGGCCUGCUCUUCUCCGGCAUCGUCGUCCAUACCGUGGAUGUCUUCGGAGCCGUAAUCGAGCAUGUCAGUUAAGUCCUCGACAGUGGCUAUGAAGUGGGUGGUGGGUGGGACGUGAAAUUCCCUGCUCUCAGCCCCUAGUCCGGGCUGGGCGUAGUUUGGACGUUGCUCCUCUAUAAUGACGAGGGAUUGCAUCAAGUCCAGAGCCUCGCUUAAAGGCGAGGUUUGGCCAGGGGGAAAAGAGUCCGUGGAGUACGGCGGGAAGGAGACUUCUUGGCCGAGCUCACACGAUGCUGACUCCGAGGGUUCGGAGCCACUGUCCGGAGAAGAGUCCGGCUUCCUGAUGGUUGCCAGUGACACUACUUCCUCCGGCUCUCCCGUACUGGGCUUAGUGGUUGCAGAUAGUCCGGCGGGCUCAGGAAUCCCGUCUUCGGACCUAGCAAUGCGCUCCGGAUCUAAGGCCAGAGAGGAGGUUGAGGUCAUGAACCCUUGGAAGAUCAAGUCUCCUCGGAUAUCAGCGACAUAGUCUAGAUUUCCAACACUAAUCUGGUGACCUGGGGCGUAGCUGUCGAUCUGCUCUAGAUGGCCAAGCGAGUUGGCCCGCAGUGCAAAGCCGCCGAAAUACAAAGAUCUGGCUGGGGAGAAAGACCUCCCACGGGGCAGUACUGUUGUAGUUGAUGGAUGGAGCCAUCGAACCUUCUGGCACAACACAGCGGAACUCUCAAUGAAAGCACCAAUGUCGGUGUCAAAACCGGCGGAUCUCGGGUAGGGGGUCCCGAACUAUGCGUCUAAGUUUGAUGGUAAUAGGAGACGGGGGACACGAUGUUUACCCAGGUUCGGGCCCUCUUGAUGGAGGUAAUACCCUACUUCCUGCUUGAUUGAUCUUGAUGAAUAUGAGGAUUACAAGAGUUGAUCUACCACAAGAUCCUAAUGGCUAAACCCUAGAUGUCUAGCCUGUAUAAUUGUGAUUGCCUCUACGGCCUAAACCCUCCGGUUUAUAUAGACACCGGAGGGGCCUAGGGUUGUAUAGAGUCGGUUUACAGAGGAAGGAAUCUUCAUAUACAAACGCCAAGCUUGCCAUCCACGCAAAGGAGAGUCCCAUCCGGACACGGGAGGAAGUCUUCUAUCUUGUAUCUUCAUGGCCCAUCAGUCCGGCCCACGUCACAUAGCCCGGACGCCCGAGGACCCCUUAAUCCAGGACUCCCUCAAUCACAAGCAAUCCUAGGCGGUCAUGGGUAUUUCCUAGCAAAAUUUUAGUUCCUUGUGAAUUUUUUCAACAUACUAGAUUUGGGAAAAAUCCAGGAUGUGAGAACAUGUUCAAUACCAUGAGUUUUGAGUAGUUCUAUUUGUCCUUGAGGACAUGGGAGAAGUCUUGUUAUUAGUAAUCAUGUGAAGUUGAUCACCAUUCAAUGUUUUGAUGAUAUGUUGUGUUGUUCUUCCUCUAGUGGUGUUAUGUGAACGUCAGCUACAUGGCAAAUCACCAAGUUUAGGCCUAGGGGAAGGCAUUGUGAAAUUAGUUCAUAGACGAUGGGUUGCCAGAGUGACCGAAACCUAAACCCCAAUUUAUGAAUUGUUCCACGAGGGGUUGUUUUGGAUCUAUAUAUUUAAUGUUGUGGUUAAAUUUAUCUUUAUUACUUCUCUUGUAUUUGUGGAUGCUUGCAUGGAGGGUAUAUCAUAAGUUGGUGUCCGUUCAAGUAAGAACAUCAACGUGGUUCUGGUCCACCAACAUAACAACUUAUCAAGGCAAUGAACGUAAGUCGAUGAAUCAUGGUGAAAUUAACUAGACAAUAUUCAUGUGCGUCCUCAAGAGUGUUUUAAUCACUAUAAUAAGUUCCAUCGACUUGUCCCUAGCAAUAUUAAGGAUUGGGCUACUUGUUGCAUCUUGCUACUUUUGUUACUUGUUACUUGCUAUCACUUAUCUUGCUAUCAAACUAUCUAUCAAAAUUAUCUUACAUCACUUGUAGAGAAUAUAUUGCUGAAAACCGUGUCUCGAUUCCGUGUGUUUCUCUCUUGGUUCGACACUCUUACUUAUGAAAGGACUACAAUUGAUCCCCUAUAUUUAUGGGUCGUGACUCUAGAUAAUUAACCUAAUAGUUAAUCAUAUUGGUACUUUCAAAAAUAAUGCAUAUGCAUUAGGCACAAAUGAAUCUUACCAAUCCCCUACAUUUCUCAUGACUAUGAGGGAUUACUCGCGCAUGAGAGAGGAAUAAGAAUCAAUCACAAAGAUUGUGCAAAGGAAAUCCUUUUCCUUAGUAAGUAGUUUGUCACAAUAAGAUGAAUGAUUAAACCAAUUUCAAUCUCUGGAUUAACCACAAAUAGAGUACAAACCCUAGGCUUACAAAUUGGAGCAUUUCCUUCUCUAUGGCGGCAAUAUUGAUGAAUGGAUGGGGGACUUGCAAUAGAGAGAAAUCUAGAACUAAUCCAAGUGAAGUUCUUCUCCUACGUACCUCUCCUCCUCUGAACAGAUUUGAGUUGGUGGUUUUAUGUUUCUUGUCUCCCUGGAUCAACACAACAAACUCGUCUUGUAUAGACGAGAGUUAGGCGCGGGCUGCUGGUAAGACCGUGGGUACCUGCGUAAGCGCUUGUACCACACGUCAUCUUUUCUUCUGGAUGCGUGAUGUUGGCUUGAACUACGUUGGUAUUUCUCCAAAGUGGAAGGGAUGAUGCAGCACAAAAACUGUAGGUAUUUCCCUCAGUGAUGAGACCAAGGUUAUUGAACCAGUAGGAGAACCACGCAACACCAUGUAAACAACUCCUGCACACAAAGAACAAAUACUUGCAACCCGACGUAAGAGAGGGGUUGUCAAUCCCUCACGGGUAAAAAGAUAGGUAGAUUGGAUAAAUAGAUCUCACGGGAAUGCGAGAUAAAAUAAAUAGAAAUUGCACCAAGGUAUUUUUGUAUUUUUGGAUUAAUAGAUCUGAGAAUAAAAGCAAAUAAAAAUAGAUUGCGAAGGCAAAUAUAAUAAAGAAGAGACCCGGGGGCCGUAGAUUUCAAUACUGGAUUCUCUCGAGAAAAUUAGCAUACGGUGGGUAAACAAAUUACUCUUGGGCAAUUGGUAGAACUUCAAAUAAUCAUGAUGAUAUCCAGGCAAUGAUCAUUAUAAAGGCAUCACGUCCAAGAUUAGUAGACCGACUCCUGCCUGCAUCUACUACUAUUACUCCACACAUCGACCGUUAUCCAGCAUGCAUCUAGUGUAUUAAGUUCAUGGAGAAAUGGAGUAAUGCUAUAAGAACGAUGACAUGAUGUAGACAAGAUCUAUUUAUGUAGAAAUAGACCCCAUCUUGUUAUCCUUAAUAGCAAAGAUACAUACGUGUCGGUUCUCCUUCUGUCACUGGGAUCGCACCGUAAGAUCGAACCCAUCACUAUAAGAUCGAACCCAUCACAAAGCACCUCUUUCCAUGGCAAGAAAAAUCGAUCUAGUUGGCCUAACUAAACCAAAGAUUCGAAGAAGAAAUACGAGGCUAUAAGUAAUCAUGCAUAUAAGAGAUCAAAAGACUCAAAUAACUUUCAUGGAUAAAAACAUAGAUGUGAUCAUAAAAUCAAAGUUCAUCGGAUCCCAAGAAACACGACGCAAAAAGAGUUACAUCAAAUAGAUCUCCAAGAUACCAUUGUAUUGAGAAUUAAAAGAGAGAGAGAGAGAGGAAGUGGCACCAAUGAUCUCCAAGAUCUCCAAGUAGGUCUACAAUGAACUACUCACGCAUCACCGGAGUGGCACCAAUGAGGAUGGUGAACCCCUUCGUGAUGGUGUCUAGAUUGGAUCUGGUGUUUCUGGAACUUGCGGCGGCAGAAAUUGAUUUUCGUCGACUCCCCUAGGUUUUAUGGAAUAUUGGGGUAUUUAUAGAGCAAAGAGGCGGUGCGAGAGGCCACUGAGGUGGGCACAACCCACCUGGGCGCGCCUGGGCCCCCAGGUGCGCCCUGGUGGGUUGUGCUCCCCUUGGAGCACCCCUCUGGUACUUCUUUGUCCCAUCUUGUGUCUUCUGGUCUAGAAAAUAUCCACAAAAAGUUUCACUGCGUUUGGACUCCGUUUGAUAUUGAUUUCCUGCUAUGUAAAUAAACAAGCAGAAAACAGCAACUGACACUGGCACUAUGUCAAUAGGUUAGUCCCAAAAAAAUGAUAUAAAAUGAUUGUAAGAUGAUUGUAAAACAUCCAAGAUUGAGAAUAUAACAACAUGGAACAAUAAAAAAUAUAGAUACGUUGGAGACGUAUCAGCAUCCCCAAGCUUAAUUCCUACUCGUCCUAGAGUAUGUAAAUGAUAAAAACUGAACUUUUGAUGUGGAAUGCUGCCUAACAUGUUCAUCACAUAUUAUUUUCCUUGUAGCAUGGGAAUUUGGACUUUUAUAUGGUCCAAAGCAAUAGUCUAGUUUUGACAAGAGGACCUUAAUAAUCAAGCAUAUCAACAAGCAACCAUGUCUUUCAAAAUAUCAACACUAAAGCAAGUUAUCCCUAGCCCAUUAUGCUCAAUCAUUGAUACAGUCAUGAAACACACUCGCAUAUUAGCUACACCCAAUGGUCAAGUACGAUCAUAGUGCCCCUUAGUUGGUGCUUUAUAAGAGAAGAUGGAGACUCAAAUAAAAAUAAAAUUGCAUAAAGUAAAUAUAAAGGCCCUUCGUAGAGGGAAGUAGGGAUUUGUAGAGGUGCUAGAGCUCAAAGCGAAAAAGAUAGAGACAAAACAUUUUGGGUGGCAUGCUUUUCCUGUCAACAAAAACGAUCGAGUAGUUCCCAACACUUUCCAUGCUAGAUAUAUCAUAGGCGGUUCCCAAAUAGAAAAUAAAGUUUAUUCCUUUUUCCACCAUACUUUCACUUUCCAUGGCUAAUCGUAUCCACGGGUGCCUUCCAUACCAACACUUUCCAAGGAAUUUGUUACUUCAAAACAUAAAGUAAAUUCAUUUUUCAUUUCGGGACUGGGCAUCCCUAAUACCUUUACCGUACUCUCGUGCAAUGAUGAGUGAAUAAACACUCAUCUUGAGAAUAACACAUCUAGCAUGGAAAUAUAUCAGCCACUCCCUACCGUUUCAUGAGCGGUACAAGGACACAAAAGAGAAUUUUAUUUUGAAAAUUAGAGAUGGUACAUACAAAUUUGCUUAGAAUGGCAAAAGAAUACCGCAUAUAGGUAGGUAUAGUGGACUCAUGUUACAAAACUGGUUUAAAGAAUUUUGGAUGCACAAGUAGUGAUCAUACUUAGUGCAAAUGAAGGCUAGCAAAAGAUUGAGAAGCAUCCAACCAAGAAACGAAAAAUCUCAUAAGCGAGCAUUAAGCAUAACUAACAACGAAUAAUGCACCACAAGUAGGAUGUAAUUUCAUUGCAUAACUAUUGACUUUCAUGCUUGCAUAGGGAAUCACAAACCUUAACACCAAUAUUCUUACUAAAGCAUAAUUACUCAUCAACAUGACCCACAUAUCAUAUCAUCAUAUCGCAGAACUAUUACAAGGAAUCAAGUUUAUUUUGUCCAAUGAUCUUCAUGAAAGUUUUUAUUAUAUCGUCCUUGGAUAUCUAUCACUUUGGAACUAGUUUCAUAUGUUGCUUUUAAUAGGCUCAAACAAAUAUAAGUGAAGAACAUGAUCAUCAUAUUUCUUUCUCUCAAAUUAAUUUAAGUGAAGCAUGAGAGAAUUUCUAAAAAAAUACUAACUAUCAAAUAAAUAUAAGUGAAGCAUGAGAGCAUUUCUUCAAGAAUAAUAAAACACACCGUGCUCAAAAAGAUAUAAGUGAAGCACUAGAGCAAUUCCAAGGCUCUAAAAAUUUAAGUGAAGCAUAGGAGCAAUUCUAACAAGUCAUAGCAUAAUUUGGCUCUCUCAAAUAGGUGUGUCCAGCAAGGAUUCAAGACUAAAAAUUAAAAUCAAAACAAGCAAAGACUCAUAUCAUACAAGACGCUCCAAGCAAAACUCAUAAUAUGUGACGAAUAAAAAUACAGCUCCAAGUAAAAUACUGAUGGUCGUUAGAAGAAAGAGGGGAUGCCACUCGGGGGCAUCCCCAAGCUUAGUUGCUUGAUACUUCUUGAUCAUUAUCUUGGGGUGCCUCGGGCAUCCCCAAGCUUAGCCUUUUGCUAAUCUUUAUUCCUUCAUCCAUCGUAAUAUCACCCAAAACUUGAAAACUUCAAUCACACAAAACUCAACAAAACCUUCGUGAGAUCCAUUAGUAUAAGAAAGCAAAUCACUACUAUAAGUACUGUUGCAAACCCAUUCAUAUUUUAUUUUUGCAUUAUAUCUACCGUAUUCCAACUUUUCUAUGGCAAAAACUCUUCAAAGAAAACCAUGGAAUCAUCAAAACAAGCACACAACGCAAACAAAACAGAAUCUGUCAAAAACAGAACAGUCUGUAGCAUUCUGGAUAUUUCAAAUACUUCUGUAAGCCCAAAAAUUCUAAAAAAUUAGGAAAACAUGGGAAAUUUGUAUAUUAAUCUUCUGCAACAAAGAAUUAGUAUUUUAUCACGCUUCUGUUAAAAAUGAGAAUUAUUUUCGUGAGCGCAAUUUUUUUUGUUUUUCAGCAAGAUCAAAUCAACUAUCACCCAACAUGAUCCCAAAGGCUUUGCUUCGCACAAACACUAAUUAAAAUAUAAAAAACACAAUCAUAGCAGUAGAAUAAUUAUGCAAAAACUCAAGAACAGAAAGAAAAAGACAAAAAUAAAUUUUAUUCAUUGGGUUGCCUCCCAACAAGCGCUAUCAUUUUAUGCCCCUAGCCAGGCAUAAUGCAAAGAAUCUAAGUAUUGUCAUCUUUGGUUUUAUUUUCCUUAGAGGUGUUUUCCUCGGGAGGUUUUGCAAAAACAACAUAAAACACCUUAUCCAUAGGGACUUCAGCACUAUCAAGUUGCUUAUCAUCAUAACCCUUUUGAUUUCCGGCAACAAUCCAAGAAUAGUGUUGAUUAAUAUCAUUGAAAACUUGCUGGAUUACAUCUAAAACAUGGAAUUCCUUCUUAAGAUUCUCAUCAAAGAUUUGAUUAUCGCCAAGCAAAUGUCUUAGCACAUAACCACUAUUAUAAAGAAUUUCAUCUAUCACCGAUUUUUCAUGAUUCAUACCAUAUAAAUCAAAAAUUUCGCUUGCAUCCCGUACUAUGUAAUCAAAUUUAUUCAUAAUAACAAGGGUGGCCAACUUUUUAGCUUUGGGAUUCUUUACAAUGGGUAACUCAAAAAACAAUCUUUGCAAGGUAGAAUGAGUACGAAUAAAUUUAUUUGCAAGUUUCAGAACUAGUGCUAAAAUAGCUUCCGCAUAAGAUUUAGUCCUCUUAAGUAUAGGAACAUCAUCAAGACUUAAAUUUCCAACACAAUUGAAAAACUCUUGGAUACGUUCUUUUCCUAUAACAUUCCCUUGCCCCAAAACAAAAGUUCUAGCAUCCAGAUUGUCGGAUUGUCCAAUUUUAGGAGUUAGGCCAUCAUACAUUUCUGCCAUAGCAAAGUCACUCAUGGUGACAAACCCUAGCACACAAAAAGUACAACAAGAAACGCGGACGAAAAAGAGGGCGGAUAAAACGGCAAACUUUUGUGAAGUGGGGGAGAGAAAAACGAGAGGCAAAUGGCCAAAAAUGUAAAUUGCAAGGAGAUGAGAUUUGUGAUUAAGAACAUGGUAGAUGUUGAUCAUGUCUCCCUGAAAACAGCGCCAGAUAUUCCUUUGGAUGUUCGCAUGAACUACGUCGGUAUUUCCCCAAAGAGGAAGGGAUGAUGCAGCACAACAACGGUAGGUAUUUCCCUCAGUGAUGAGACCAAGGUCAUCGAACCAGUAGGAGAACCAUGCAACACCACGUAAACAGCUCCUGCACACAAAGAACAUAUACUUGCAACCCGACGUAAGAGAGAGGUUGUCAAUCCCUCACGGGUAAAAAUAUAGGUAGAUUGGAUAGAUAGAUCUCGCGGGAACGCGAGAUAAAAUAAAUAAAUAGAAAUUACAGCAAGGUAUUUUUGUAUUUUUGGAUUGAUAGAUAUAAAAAUAAAAGCAAAUAAAAAUAGAUCGCGAAGGCAAAUAUAAUAAAGAAGAGACCCGGGGGCCGUAGAUUUCACUACUGGCUUCUCUCGAGAAAAAUAGCAUACGGUGGGUAAACAAAUUACUCUUGGGCAAUUGGUAGAACUUCAAAUAAUCAUGACGAUAUACAGGCAAUGAUCAUUAUAUAGGCAUCACGUCCAAGAUUAGUAAACCAACUCCUGCCUGCAUCUACUACUAUUACUCCACACAUCGACCGCUAUCCAGCAUGUAUCUAGUGUAUUAAGUUCAUGGGGAACGGGGUAAUGCUAUAAGAACGAUGACAUGAUGUAGACAAGAUCUAUUUAUGUAGAAAUAGACCCCAUCUUGUCAUCCUUAAUAGGAACGAUACAUACGUGUCGGUUCCCCUUCUGUCACUGGGAUCAAGCACCGUAAGAUCGAGCCCAUCACAAAGCACCUCUUUCCAUGGCAAGAAAAAUCGAUCUAGUUGGCCUAACUAAACCAAAGAUUCGAAGAAGAAAUAUGAGGCUAUAAGUAAUCAUGCAUAUAAGAGAUUAAAAUACUCAAAUAAGUUUCAUGGAUAAAAACAUAGAUCUGAUCAUAAACUCAAAGUUCAUCGGAUCCCAACAAACACACCGCAAAAAGAGUUACAUCAAAUAGAUCUCCAAGAGACCAUUGUAUUGAGAAUCAAAAGAGAGAGAGGAAGCCAUCUAUCUACUAACUACGGACCCGUAGGUAUACAAUGAACUACUCAUGCAGGAUCGGAGAGGCACCAAUGAGGAUGAUGAACCCCUCCGUGAUGGUGUCUAGAUUGGAUUUGGUGGUUCUGGAACUUGCGGUGGCUGAAAUGUAUUUUCGCCGACUCCCCUAGGGUGUCUGGAAUAUUGGGGUAUUUAUAGAGCAAAGAGGCGGUGGAGGAGGCCACCGAGGUGAGCACAACCCACCUGGGCGCGCCUAGGCCCCCAGGCGCGCCCUCGAAUCCACAAAAAGUUUCGCUGCGAUGUAAAAAACAAACAGAAAACAACAACUGGCACUGGGCACUAUGUCAAUAGGUUAGUCCCAAAAAAUGAUUGUAAAACAUCCAAGAAUGAUAAUAUAACAGCAUGGAACAAUCAAAAAUUAUAGAUACGUUGGAGACGUAUCAAUGCGCCAGGUGAAUUUCUUCCCAAGAUGGAGGUUGUCAAUCUUCUCCUUAGCUAACCUAAUAUGAUCUUGGUUUCUUCCUAAUAUGGAUAAAUCAGCACACCAAGCAAGGAAAUAAAGUUUAUUUUUAUUUGAAGGGUUAUCGUUAGUGAAAAAAUGAAAAAUGACAAAGGCCCUGUGUUCGCACACGAACACGUCACAGUGUACCUCCAACGUCGAGGGUGAUGCACCGUAACUCACGUCGAAAGAGACCCGUCCGAAAGUGCGGUACACAAGCAUUCCGGCAGGUGCUUUUGAGGACCGGAAACCCCACACGCCCUGGAGGGACCCCGUAUGGAUGCAUGGCAGCUAUGGGCUGCCCUAGGUUUUCUCGCUCGCCCCUAGAGCCUCGAGGAUCGCUGCCCGUCAACACAAAGAAUGAACGAAGAACGAGAGAGAAAGAACAAGAGAGAGAUGUAAAAACUAGGGUAAAAAUAGUAUAUUGAUUUGUCGAUUGUGUGUUGUUUAAUCAGCCGUCACCUCUCAUAUCUAUGAGGCAGAUAGACUUCCUAUAUAAGAAAAGGACUAAAAUUCCGUCCAAAACAUAAAAAAAACCUAACCUAACCCGGACAGGAAUCUUUGACAAUUUUCUGAAUCAACUCGGAGCCACCGAGUGGUUUGCUUCGGUGCCAUCAGGUGAAUGUGGCCAACCUUCCAUAAUCUUUUGUACCUCACUCAGAAUUUUCGAGUGGUUUCACUUGGAAUUACCGAGUCAAAUCAACUUGGUCGGUCCGAAAUGGCUCUGCAACUUCUGUUUUUGACCUUAUUUUGGCUCCACAGGUUCUAUAUGAUCUCGGUUUGAGACAAAUUUUAUAUGAAAAUCAACUGUUUCGAUGAGACGCACAACUUUAAUGUUGAAACUUUUUGCAUCUGAGGGCCAUCUUAACUGAGUAUCAUGCCAUUUCAUAAUCUGAUGUCAACACAAGCAUCUCUAAAAUUGUCAUAACUUUUGCAUCCGAGCUCCGUUUUGUACCAUCUUCAUACCCAUCUUGAUCUUCUUGAAAAGAUCCAUUUGAAGGUGACUUCCAAUCAUAAGUUUGCAUUAAUAUUGACAUAGCUUUAAGCUACUUUUAUGAUUGUGCCACAUUUGAGCGUCAACACAUGCCCCCCGUUUUUCAGCAAAGCUAGCGUGUCGAAAAAAUAACAUGUACCGUGUUUGUUUUAAGGACGAUGUCAACACUCCAUCAGCCAUUUAUAUGUACUUAGGCAAUAAUUUUGUAUCGGCCAUGUUUAUGCUUAGGGCGAUAAUUCUGAAGCGGUCAUUGCUUUUACAUUUUUUUACAUCAUACCUUGGAACCGAUUACCACCAAUCGGCUUUAAAGAGAUAGGAAUGAACAUGUUACUUGUAGCACUAAGGAAACCAAACUCCAAGAGGUCAUGCCCAGUUAAGCAAGUAACGUCGGGAUGAUUCCAAUGAAGGAAAUAUGCCCUAGAGGCAAUAAUAAAGUUGUUAUUUAUAUUUCCUUAUACAUGAUAAAUGUUUAUUAUUCAUGCUAGAAUUGUAUUAACCGGAAACUUAGUACAUGUGUGAAUACAUAGACAAACAAAGUGGUCACUAGUAUGCCUCUACUUGACUAGCUCGUUGAAUCAAAGAUGGUUAAGUUUCCUAGCCAUAGACAUGAGUUGGCAUUUGAUUAAUGGGAUCACAUCAUUAGAGAAUGAUGUGAUUGACUUGACCCAUUCCGAUAGCUUAGCACUUCAUCGUUUAGUAUAUUGCUAUUGCUUUCUUCAUGACUUAUACAUGUUCCUAUGACUAUGAGAUUAUGCAACUCCCGAAUACCGGAGGAACACUUUGUGUGCUGCCAAACAUCACAACGUAACUGGGUGAUUAUAAAGGUGCUCUACGGGUGUCUUCGAUGGUACUUGUUGAGUUAGCAUAGAUCGAGAUUAGGAUUUGUCACUCCGAUUGUCGGAGAGGUAUCUCUGGGCCCUCUCGGUAAUGCACAUCACUAUAAGCCUUGCAAGGAAUGUGACUAAUGAGUUAGUUGCGGGAUGAUGCAUUACGGAACGAGUAAAGAGACUUGCCAGUAACGAGAUUGAACUAGGUAUUGAGAUACCGACGAUCGAAUCUCGGGCAAGUAACAUACCGAUGACAAAGGGAACAACGUAUUUUGUUAUGCGGUUUGACUGAUAAAGAUCUUCGUAGAAUAUGUGGGGGCCAAUAUGAGCAUCCAGGUCCCGCUAUUGGUUAUUGACCGGAGACGUGUCUCGGUCAUGUCUACAUAGUUCUCGAACCCGUAGGGUCCGCACGCUUAACGUUCGGUGACGAUCGAUAUUAUGAGUUUAUGUGUUUUGAUGUACCGAAGGUAGUUUGGAGUCCUGGAUAUGAUCACGGACAUGAUGAGGAGUCUCGAAAUGGUCGAGACAUAAAGAUUGAUAUAUUGGAAGCCUAUGUUUGGACAUCGGAAUGGUUCCGGAAGAGUUCGGGCAUUUACCGGAGUACCGGGAGGUUACGGGAACCCCCCGGGGAGUCAAUGGGCCUUAAUGGGCCAUAGUGGAAAGGAGGAGGAGGAGGCGGCCAAGGUGGGGGCGCCCCCCCCCCCAAGCCCAAUCCGAAUAUGGAGGGGGCGGUCCCCCUUUCCUUCUCUCCUUCUCCCCCUUCCUUCCCUCUCCUACUCCAACUAGGGAAGGGGGAAUCCUUCUCCCACCGGGAGUAGGACUCCCCCCUUGGGCGCGCCUAGGAGGCCGGCCCUCUCCCCCUCCUCCACUCCUUUAUAUAUGGGGGAGGGGGGCACCCCAUAGACACACAAGUUGAUCAUUGAUCUUUUAGCCGUGUGCGGUGCCCACCUCCACCAUAAUCCACCUCGGUCAUAUCAUUGCAGUACUUAGGCGAAGCCCUGCGCCGAUAGCUUCAUCAUCACCGUCAUCACGCCGUCGUACUGACGAAGCUCUCCCUCGACACUCUGCUGGAUCGUGAGUUCGUGGGACGUCACCGAGCCGAACGUGUGCAGAUCGCGGAGGUGCCGUACUUUCUGUACUAGGAUCGGUCGAUCGUGAAGACGUACGACUACAUCAACCGCGUUGUCAUAACGCUUCCGCUUACAGUCUACGAGGGUACGUGGACAACACUCUCCCCUCUCGUUGCUAUGCAUCACCAUGAUCUUGCGUGUGCGUAGGAUUUUUUUUGAAGUUACUACGUUCCCCAACAGUGGCAUCCGAGCUAGGUUUAUGCGUAGAUGUUAUAUGCACGAGUAGAACACAAGUGAGUUGUGGGCGAUAAUAGUCAUACUGCUUACCAGCAUGUCAUACUUUGAUUCGCGGUAUUGUUGGAUGAAGCGGCCCGGACCAACAUUACGCGUACGCUUACCCGAGACUAGUUCUACCGACGUGCUUCGCACACAGGUGGCUGGCGGGUGUCAGUUUCUCCAACUUUAGUUGAAUCGAGUGUGGCUACGCCCGGUCCUUGUUGAAGGUUAAAACAGCACAUACUUGACGAAAAAUCGUUGUGGUUUCGAUGCGUAGGUAAGAACGGUUCUUGCUCAGCCGUAGCAGCCACGUAAAACUUGCAACAAAGUAGAGGACGUCUAACUUGUUUUUGCAGGGCUUGUUGUGAUGUGAUAUGGUCAGGACAUGAUGCUAAAUUUUAUUGUAUGAGAUGAUCAUGUUUUGUAACGGAGUUAUCGGUAACUGGCAGGAGCCAUAUGGUUGUUGCUUUAUUGUAUGAAAUGCAAUCGCCAUGUAAUUGUUUUACUUUAUCACUAAGCGGUAGCGAUAGUCGUAGACGCAAUAGUUGGCGAGACGACAACGAUGCUACGAUGGAGAUCAAGGUGUCGCGCCGGUGACGAUGGUGAUCAUGACGGUGCUUUGGAGAUGGAAAUCAAAGGCACAAUAUGAUGAUGGCCAUAUCAUAUCACUUAUAUUGAUUGCAUGUGAUGUUUAUCCUUUAUGCAUCUUAUUUUGCUUAGUUCGAUGGUAGCAUUAUAAGAUGAUCUCUCACUAAAUUUCAAGGUAUAAGUGUUCUCCCUAAGUAUGCACCGUUGCGAAAGUUCAUCGUGCCGAGACACCACGUGAUGAUCGGGUGUGAUAAACUCUACAUUCACAUACAACAGGUGCAAGCCAGUUUUGCACACGCAGAAUACUCGGGUUAAACUUGACGAGCCUAGCAUAUGUAGAUAUGGCCUCGGAACACUAAGACCGAAAGGUCGAGCGUGAAUCAUAUAGUAGAUAUGAUCAACAUAGUGAUGUUCACCAUUGAAAACUACUCCAUCUCACGUGAUGAUCGGACAUGGUUUAGUUGAUUUGGAUCACGUGAUCACUUAGAUGAUUAGAGGGAUGUCUAUCUAAGUGGGAGUUCUUAAGUAAUUUCAUUAAUUGAACUUUAAUUUAUCAUGAACUUAGUACCUGGUAGUAUUUUGCAUGUCUAUGUUGUUGUAGACAGAUGGCCUGUGUUGUUGUUCCGUUGAAUUUUAAUGUGUUCCUAGAGAAAGCUAAGUUGAAAGAUGAAGGUAGCAACUACACGGACUGGGUCCAUAACUUGAGGAUUAUCCUCAUUGCUGCACAGAAGAAUUACGUCCUGGAAGCACCGCUAGGUGCCAAACCCGCUGCAUGAGCAAUGCCAGAUGUUAUGAACGUCUCACAGAGCAAAGCUGAUGACUACUCGAUAGCUCAGUGUGCCAUGCUUUACGGCUUAGAACCGGAACUUCAAUGACAUUUUGAACGUCAUGGAGCAUAUGAGAUGUUCCAGGAGUUGAAGUUAAUAUUUCAAGCAAAUGCCCGGAUUGAGAGAUAUGAAGUCUCCAAUAAGUUCUACAGCUGCAAGAUGGAGGAGAAUAGUUCUGUCAAUGAGCAUAUACUCAAAAUGUCUGGGUAUAACAAUCACUUGAUUCAACUGGGAGUUAAUCUUCCUGAUGAUAGUGUCAUUGACAAAAUUCUUUAAUCACUGCCACCAAGUUACAAGAGUUUCGUGAUGAACUAUAACAUGCAAGGGAUGGAUAAGACAAUUCUCGAGCUCUUCGCAAUGCUAAAGGCAGCGGAGGUAGAAAUCUAGAAGGAGCAUCAAAUGUUGAUGGUCAACAAGACCACCAGUUUCAAGAAAAAGGGUAAAGGGAAGAAGGGGAGCUUCAAGAAGAACGGCAAGCAAGUUGCUGCUCAAGUGAAGAAGCCCAAGUCUGGACCUAAGCCUGAGACUGAGUGCUUCUACUGCAAAGGGACUGGUCACUGGAAGCGGAACUGCCCCAAGUAUUUGGCGGAUAAGAAGGAUGGCAAGGUGAACAAAGGUAUAUGUGAUAUACAUGUUAUUGAUGUCUACCUUACUAAUGCUCGCAGUAGCACCUGGGUAUUUGAUACUGGUUCUGUUGCUAAUAUUUGCAACUCGAAACAGGGACUACAGAUUAAGCGAAGAUUAGCUAAGGACGAGGUGACGAUGCGCGUGGGAAAUGGUUCCAAAGUCGAUGUGAUCGCGGUCGGCACGCUACCUCUACAUCUACCUUCGGGAUUAGUUUUAGACCUGAAUAAUUGUUAUUUGGUGCCUGCGUUAAGCAUGAACAUUAUAUUUGGAUCUUGUUUGAUGCGAGACGGUUAUUCAUUUAAAUCAGAGAAUAAUGGUUGUUCUAUUUAUACGAGUAAUAUCUUUUAUGGUCAUGCACCCUUGAAGAGUGGUCUAUUUUUGUUGAAUCUCGAUAGUAGUGACACACAUAUUCAUAAUAUUGAAGCCAAAAGAUGCAGAGCUGGUAAUGAUAGUGCAACUUAUUUGUGGCACUGUCAUUUGGGUCAUAUUGGUGUAAAGCGCAUGAAGAAACUCCAUUCUGAUGGACUUUUGGAAUCACUUGAUUAUGAAUCACUUGGUACUUGCGAGUCAUGCCUCAUGGGCAAGAUGACUAAAACUCCAUUCUCCGAAACAAUGGAGCGAGCAACAGAUUUGUUGGAAAUCAUACAUACUGAUGUAUGUGGUCCGAUGAAUGUUGAGGCUCGCGGCGGGUGUCGGUGUCAAAACCGGCGGAUCUCGGGUAGGGGGUCCCGAACUGUGCGUCUAGGAUCGAUGGUAACAGGAGACGGGGGACACGAUGUUUACCCAGGUUCGGGCCCUCUCUAUGGAGGUAAUACCCUACUUCCUGCUUGAUUGAUCUUGAUGAAUAUGAGUGUUACAAGAGUUGAUCUACCACGAGAUCGUAAUGGCUAAACCCUAGAAGCCUAGCCUAUAUGUAUAUGGUAAUGAAUGUGUCCUAUCCGGACUAUGCUCUCCGGUUUAUAUAGACACCGGAGAGAUCUAGGGUUACAUGGGGUCGGUUACAUAAGAAGGAAUCUUCAUAGUCGGUCACCAAGCUUGCCCUCCAUGCCAAGUAGAGUCCAAUCCGGACACGGUGCAGUCUUCGGCCUUCAUGUCUUCACAGCCCAUCAGUCCGGCCCAUGGAUAGCAGGCCCGACGCCCGAGGACCCCUUAGUCCAGGACUCCCUCAGUAGCCCCUGAACCUGGCUUCAAUGACGAGGAGUCCGGCGCGCAGAUUGUCUUCGGCAUUGCAAGGCGGGUUCCCCUUUUUCCGAACUCCAAUAUAGUCUUCGGACAUGAUAAUUGUAUCGGGACCCGUUAUACACCACACACAACCGCAGAGAGAAUAUAAUAUUUGCACGAAUCUAAUCUGUUGACUGCUUCUUUAUAACACGACAUCACGUCCGUCCGGUUAUAAUUUCGAACCGUUUUUCUUCUGCCAUCCCACGUUUUGAGACGCGGUUGCUAUUGGCAUGUCUUAUCGAAAUAGAGAUCGUGUCCCCUUAUUGCGGGAUUCUCAUCAAUGCGGGCAUGGGUAACCCAACUGUGUCGUUUGCACAGCCCUUGGGAAUAGGCGAAUCUUAAGGUGAGUGAGGAGGCGUUUAAUGUUUGCUGCCUUUAUAAGGGGAUAAGGAUUCCCUCUUCCUCUCCUCACGCUUUCCCUCUGUCUCCGCCUUCUCGAUCUCGAGCUCCAGCGCCCAAGCUUUAGUUUUUCCUCAUUCGAGAAGGCACUCUAAUCAUGUCCGGAUCCGGAGCUGGAGGCAAGUGGAUGUCCUCUUCCGUCAAUAAGAAGGACAUCACGGGGCUCCGGGAGGCCGGCUAUUUAGCCAAGGAGAUUGCUCACCGACUCCCUGCGAAAGGGCAAAUCGUCCCUACCCCCGAGCCUCAUGAGAGGGUUGUGUUUCUCACACAUUUCGUCCGCGGGCUGGGAUUCCCCCUUCAUCCAUUUGUCCGUGGAUUGAUGUUUUACUAUGGGUUGGACUUCCACGAUCUGGCCCCCAACUUUAUACUCAAUAUCUCAGCAUUUAUCAUUGUGUGCGAGGCCUUUCUCCGCAUCCCGCCUCACUUCGGCCUAUGGCUGAAGACCUUCAACGUGAAACCGAAGGUGGUGAGCUGUCAACAAGCAGAGUGCGGAGGCGCCAUGGUGGGAAAAAUGCCCAACGUCACCUGGCCCGAAGGCUCCUUUGCUGAGACGGUGAAGGGAUGGCAGUCGGGGUGGUUUUACAUCACCGAGCCGCGUGACGCCAAUUGGGUAGCAGCCCCCGAAUUCCGAUCCAGAGUUCCGAUGCGGCUCACUUCCUGGCAAGAGAAGGGCCUGACCUGGGGGUCCUUGGACAAGAUUACUGGGCUCCAGACAUGCGUCCAGAACAUGAUAACCAAGAAGAUCAAGCUUGUGAAUGUGAUCCAGGUCAGGCUCAUUCGCCGGAUUCUUCCGUGUCAACGCCGGACUUGCUAUUUGUGGGAGUACGACCCCGCCGAGCACCAGACGCUGCGAGGGCUCUUCGGCACAACGCACGAAGGCAUCUGGAAAGCGCUCUUCAAGGCGGGUGAGACACCCCGCCCACGACUGAAAAUCGCGGGCUUAGCUCAAAGCGCCAGGCCAAUUCGGUAAGUCUUUUAAUGCUUUUGAGGUAUACCCUUCACUAGCAUAUUUUUAGGAUGGAUACUGAGCUCCUCCGUCUACUUUACCAAGCCUGGAUCGAGGUGUCGGAGCAGAUUAACUGUCCGGCUCCGCUUCCUGAGGAGGAAGAAUUCCCACUUCUGACGAAGAUGUUGUUUCCGGCGCCAUAUGACGUGCCGGAGAAGACGGCCAAGAAAGCGGCCAAAGGGGCCAAGAAAGGCCCUUGCCAAAAAGGCGCUUCGGACAUGUCGUCCGAGGACGAGACUUCCUCUUCAUCCGAUGACGACGACGAAGAGGAAGAAGAACAAAACGAUUCCCCGCCCGAGGUGGGGAGGAAGAAGAGGGCGGCUCCCCCGGAUCCGGAGGCGAAAGCGCCCAAGAAGGUUAAAGGCUCCCAAACGGAUAACUCCAUGUGGGAUAUUGAUAGCAGUCCGGAACGACCUCGCCGGACCAAGCCUCGGGCCGCUUCGUAAGUACCAGAAUCCGCAAACGUAUGGCCUUUCUGUUUUAUAGUAUUGACAUAUUGUAAGCCUUGUUACUGCAGUCCAGCACGCGAUGGCUCCCCGCAGUCCUCAACUGAGGAUUCGCUGGGCUCGAAGGAGAGGGCUAGCACAUCUCCGCCACCUGCUCAUUCCGUCUCACCUAAGGGUGAUGACGAGGUGGUGUCCAAAAAGACUUUCCCAGGCCAGGGGGAGAUUCCGGAGAUCAUCGGGGUGACGUCCUAGGAUGAUUUUUCGGCCGCCGGACAUGUGGGGAAAAAAGUCCCCAUGGGAACUGGUGACGGGGCCCGAGUUCCCUUUGGACCUCAGCCGGAUACCAUUCUGGAGAUCUACACGGCUCCAGGGGCCAGCGAACGGCAUUCCCUGCAAGGAGGGAAUGUGCCUGUUCCACCGGUGACCUCUGUCCAACCAGAGGCGCCGGAUAAUCUGCUGGAGGAGCUACGAGGCGUCUCUAUUGUGGAUGAACAUCGUGUCCUUAUGGACACGGUGAUAGAGAAGUUUCAGUUCGUCAAGAGCGGACUGACCGAAGCCUGCACUAGCCUUCUAACGGGCUUUGAGGUAAGUGAUUGUAAAAAAUAUCACAGUAUAGACAAUAGCCCCUGAUGCUCUGUUUGGUGUUCGUGAAGAAAAGCCGAACAGAGUAUCGAGAAGAAAUAUCGCAGGAGUCUAACAUGAGUUGUCUAUGUGAACAAGCAGGUAUCGCUUAAGGCAGCCACUGCUCAUGCUGCGGAGGUCUCCGGACUGAAGCAGAAACUGGAGCGGGCCGAGGAGGAGCUCGGCCUCGUGAAGAAGCAUCUGGAGGAUAACCAAGGUAUGCAGUAACCUGCUGGUAUAUUUCUAGAUAAUGAAUAGUCCGAAUGGACUAAAUUGUCAUAAACUUUAUUAGGGGUCGCGACCGAGGUGGCAACCCUUAAGAAGGCGUUAGCCGAGGCCGAGGACAAAGCAGCCAAGGUACGCGCCUCGCGCGAGAAGCACGAGGCCCGGGUUGGUGAGGCGCAGCAAGAGCUCCAGGACGCGAUAGAGAGAUUUGAGUCCCUGGAGCGCGAUUGUAAGGCGCAAGAGUCCGAAUUGGCGAAGGUCCGCCAGAGCGCACAGGAUGCACGAGCCGAAGCCCAGAGCGCCCUCCAGGAGAUUCAGGCGGCCAAGAUGAUUACAGCGGGUAAACCUUUCACCAUGCAUAGCAAGUAUAUAGAAGAAACGUUCCUUGUACUUAUCCUGAAUUUGGAUUUUCCAGGGGCGUUUGCGGAUCUGCCGCACAGUGUGUCAGAUGCUGCCGAGUAUUACAGAACCAAGGAAGGUAUGUCAACGGAGAAGCUAUUCUGGUCCCAACAUCUGGGAUCCGAACAUCCGGUAACCUUCAGCGACCAGCUAAAGCAGUUGGUCAAGCUGCAUAGGUUGGCAGAGCUAGCCAUGAAGGACCUGAUAGUCCGGCUGUGGCCUGCCGAUCCUAUACCUAGCAGCUACUUCGGAGUUGUGCAGCGGCUUGUGUGUGCCUGUCCGCGGCUCGAAGUCGUGAAGCGGUCGGUCUGCAUUGAAGGUGCGAGUAUGGCCUUUGCCCGCGUCAAGACGCAUUGGGCGAAGCUGGAUGCCAAGAAGCUGAUGACCGAGGGACCGCCGGAGGGCAAGGAGCAUCGUCGACCUAAGCACUAUUUUUACGGUGUUCUGGAGGGGUCACGCCUUGUGGCGGAGCAGUGUUCGAAGGAUGUUAUAUUCCCAUGAGAACAUGUGUAUUACCUUGUUCUGUAAUAUGGAAAAAUGAUAUUAUUUAGUAUAAUGUUUAUGAUUUAAAUUUUACCUCCUGUGCGGCCGUUUAUUAAAUCUGAGGGUUGACCAGUCGUCGGCUUCUACCCCCACGUAGAUAGUAUUGGGGUGUUCGGGAUAAAUCUAAACACUCUUUACUCCACACUUUGGUCCUUAAAGGAGGUGUUUAGCACAACGAACAAGGCAAUCAGACUAUGCGGCCUUUACUGCCCUCACUUAGCCAUAGGAGUUUGACAAUUAAUAAAGUUGGUGAAGCCCCUAGUCUUUGGAAGGCCGAAUUAGGGGCGUUACACACGCCUAAUCGGAAGAACCGGUUCUUCGCAAGAAGCGGAAAAAAUCUCCAACGAUUGGGAACCUCUCGAACAGCUGACCGGCUCUCGCCGCAUCAUGACAGUCAGUUUUUGGCUUUCUCUACUGAGGUGCUCAUCCGGAAUAACCGGGACACAAUCGCAGUAGUUCUCCCUUUACUACCCUAGCCGAUGUAGCGGAACGUAAGGUAGUAAGCACAGGAGCCGGGCAACCCAACUAUUGACCAAAUACAUGAUUAGGAGCCGAUGCAUAUAAUACUAUAAGUUCGGGGUGCCGAACUAUACUAUAAAAGUGUUCGGACUUUUAUUGCCAUGAUGCGGGGUGUAAUGAAGCCCCUGGCGUAGUAAUACGUACCGUGGUGUACGUGUGCAAUGAGUAAUUAAUACCGAGGUGAGGAAACGGGAAAAUGAAGUAAUAAGCUGACGCUACCGUGUAUUCACCAUUGUGAUGUAACUAGUACGUUGAGGCGUACUUUGUACAAGUAAUGCGAUGUGCAAGUAAGUCUAUUUAACACGCCGCCACCAAGGGCGAGCUACAUGCGUGUAUGAAAAGCAAUUAUGGCAAUAGUGUAGUAGAGACCACCUGCGGAUUCCCUUGUAAGCCAGAGCUCCCUGCCUCCUUGGUGUGUUCUGCUGGCGGGUUGUCCGUGUAGUCCUUGAAAAGAGAAGAAAACCCAUAAAAAAGGAAAAGUAAAAGCAUGCGUAUCCCAGGGUCGGUCAAGCCGUACUGUGGAUUGCGAGCGGGGUAUGCCUCCAUCAGUACCCAUGGGGUUUCGAAUGCGUAAUUGUGUACGGAUGGUACGAAUGCCACUACCUCAUUGAGAUUGGGACGGAGGCCAAAUUGCUAGUCGACCUCUUGACGAGCCGCGCCGUCCUGUGGCAGCGUAGUCCGGAACCUCUUAAUGAUGUCCGAGGGCUCGACGGCCGUACUAUGGUGCUGCUUGAGAAGGCCGUUCUGUGCUUCUGCUGCUAGGGCGGCGAUGUGCUCCUCUGUUCGAAGGGAGCAUUCCGUGUUGCCAUUGACUGUUAUGACGCCACGUGGACCGGGCAUCUUGAGCUUGAGAUAAGCAUAGUGUGGCACUACGUUGAAUCUAGCAAACGCGGUUCGUCCGAGCAGCGCGUGAUAGCCGCUGCGGAAGGGGACGAUGUCGAAGAUUAACUCUUCGCUUCGGAAGUUGUCCGGAGAACCGAAGACCACCUCCAGCGUGAUUGAGGCCGUACAACGGGCCUCUACGCCUAGUACGACUCCUUUGAAGGUAGUCUUUGUUGGUUUGAUUCGUAAGGGGUCAAUGCCCAUUUUCCGCGUUGUGUCUUGAUAGAGCAGGUUGAGGAUGCUACCACCGUCCAUCAGGACUCGUGUUAGGUGAAACCCGUCAAUAAUUGGGUCGAGGACUAGUGAGGCUGAACUGCCAUGGCGGAUACUGGUUGGGUGAUCGCGACGAUCGAAGGUGAUCGGGAAUGAUGACCACGGAUUGAAUUUUGGGGCGACUGGCUCUACCGCGUAGACGUCCCUAAGUGCUCGCUUACGCCCCCUUUUGGGGAUGUGCGUAGCGUAUAUCAUGUUCACCGUUUUGACUUGAGGGGGAAAUUUCUUCUGCCCUCCGGUGUUCGGCUGCCGGGGCUCUUCGUCAUCGUCCUCGCUCUCUGAUUCCCCUUCCUUGUUUUUGUUGUUUACCUUGCUGGCUUGUUUAAAGACCCGGCAAUCUCUGUUAGUAUGGUUAGCCGGUUUGUCUGGGGUGCCAUGUAUCUGGCAAGGACGAUCGAGUAUGCGGUCCGAGCUGGAUGGUCAUCCGCUGCUCCUUUUAUAGGGCUUCUUCCGUUGGCCGGACUUGGAGCCAGUGAAUCCGGCGUUGACCGUGGUGUCAUCGGUGUUGUUGCCAUUGCUUCGGCGUUUGUGUCUAUUGCGCCGGAGCUUGCUAGCGCUAUUCUUGGCCUCAGAAGGGCCUGUCUCGCUGGUUGUGUUGUUACUACGGGCGAGCCAACUGUCCUCUCCCGCGCAAAAGCGGGUCAUGAGUGCCGUGAGGGCUGCCAUGGACUUCGGCUUUUCUUGGCCGAGGUGGCGUGCUAGCCAUUUGUCACGGAUGCUGUGUUUGAAGGCUGCUAAGGCCUCGGCAUCCGGACAGUCAACGAUCUGUUUCUUUUUGGUUAGGAACCUAGUCCAGAAUUUUCUGGCUGAUUCUCCAGGUUGUUGAACUAUGUGGCUUAAGUCAUCGGCGUCUGGUGGCCAGACAUAAGUUCCUUGGAAGUUAUCAAAGAAAGCCUCUUCCAAGUCCUCCCAGCUGCCGAUGGAGUUUUCAGGCAGACUAUUUAGCCAGUGUCGAGCUGGCCCUUUAAGUUUUAAUGGGAGGUAUUUGAUGCCGUGGAGGUCAUCUCCUCGCGCCAUAUGGAUAUGGAGAAUAAAAUCCUCGAUCCAUACUUCAGGAUCGGUUGUGCCGUCGUAUGAUUCAAUGUUGACAGGCUUGAACCCUUUGGGGAAUUCGUGAUCCAGCACCUCGUCUGUGAAGCAGAGAGGGUGUGCGGCGCCUCUAUAGCGGGCCGCAUCGCGGCGGAGCUCUGAUGGAGUCCGUCUGCGGCAUUCGGCCCGGGCGUGGUUAGGUUUAUCACGUCCGGAUAGGUAGCCAUCGUCGUGCCUCGAGGCAUGGCCUCGCGAUCCGUAGAUCGAUCUUCUAUGUCCUGCUCUACUGCCCAGGGUUUGCCGGAGGUCGUAUGUAUGGCUCCGGACUCUUCCGUCCCUAUUUUGACGGGGUGGUGGGGCGGUCUGCUGUUCGGCCUGAGUUGCCGCUUUAUCCCGACCGCGGGGUGGCUGUUCGGCCGCCCUGUCUCGACCACGUGGUGGUCGUUACGCAUUACGCGAGGGAGAUAUGUGCUCCAGCGCCUCCUCAUCGAGUUGAGGCAGCAGUCUGCGUUUCGGGUAGCUCUUGGUUGGGUGCUUGAGGGCCGUAUUCCUCGGCUGCCAGGACAUCAGUCCAUUUGUCGACGAGCAGGUCUUGUUCAGCUUGAAGCUGCUGCCGUUUCUUUUUCAGGCUCCUGGCCGUGGCUAUGAGCUGAAGCUUAAAGCGCUCCUGCUCGAGAGGAUCCUCGGGCACGAUGAAGUCUUCGUUGCCAAGGCUUGUCUCCUCCUCGGAGGGUGGACGGUAACUAUCAUCCUCCGAGUUGUCUUCUAUGGCCUGUUCGUCAGGGUUGUCUUGCCUGCUGUCAUGUUCCUGUUCGGAUGUAGCCCCGACAGGGUCUUCAUUGUUUUCGGCGUCGCCGGAGUACUAUUUUCUCCGGUGCCAGUGUUGCCGUCCUUUGAGCGACGGGGCUUAGAGCGGCGUUUGGGCCGCCGGCGCUUGGAAUGCGUCUCGGAGGUUUUAUUCGCAUCUGGCUCUUCUUUGUCGUCGCCAGAUCCUUUAGGUGUAUCAACCAUGUACACGUCAUACGUAGAGGUAGCCGUCCAACGCCCAGUGAAUGGCGGGUCUUGGCCUUGCUCCUUGUCGGCAUCGUCGUCCAUACCGUCGAUCUCUUCGGAGCCAUAGUCAAGCACAUCGGUUAAGUCAUCGACGGUGGCUAUGAAGUGGGUGGCGGGUGGGAAGCAAAAUUCCUCAUCAUCCGUCUCUAGCUCGAACCGGACAUAGUUCGGUUGUGAGUCCUUCUCCAAGGACAAAUUCUUUAAAGAUUUUAGCACGUCACCCAAAGGCGAGUGCUGGAAAACGCCAGCGGCGCCGAACUCGAAGAUCGAUAACCGAUCUAGCUCGGUGUCCGCGGGCGUACACAGUCCGGAACUUAUAGCCGGAGACAAGUCCAAAGUUCCGUUAAAGCGAAUAUUGCAGGGCGUUGAGUCCAUGUGCGGCUCCAACGCCGUAGACUCUACGGCCUCGGACGGCACGAUCUGCUUUGGCCCUAAGGCCGGUGCAGCUGCGGGAACCACCUCCUGGGUGUGAUUCGAUGACAGAUUUAAGUCACGUUCAUCGGGGUAAGGGGGAGUGAUCGCCGCGUGCUCAAAUCCCUCGGAGGUCAAGUCUCCACGGGUAUCCGCAACGUAGUUCAAGCUUCCGAAUCCGACCUGAUGGCCAGGGGCGUAGCUGUCGAUCUGCUCCAGAUGGCCAAGUGAGUUGGCCCGCAGUACGAAGCCACCAAAUACGAAGAUCUGUCCGGGGAGGAAGGUUCCUCCUUAACGGCGUCGUUAUUGACGAUUGAAGGGGCCAUCAAACCUUUUGUCGACGGCACAGUGGAACUCUCAAUGAAAGCACCAAUGUCGGUGUCAAAACCGGCGGAUCUCGGGUAGGGGGUCCCGAACUGUGCGUCUAGGAUCAAUGGUAACAGGAGACGGGGGACACUAUGUUUACCCAGGUUCGGGCACUCUCUAUGGAGGUAAUACCCUACUUCCUGCUUGAUUGAUUUUGAUGAAUAUGAGUGUUACAAGAGUUGAUCUACCACGAGAUCGUAAUGGCUAAACCCUAGAAUCCUAGCCUAUAUGUAUAUGGUAAUGAAUGUGUCCUAUCCGGACUAUGCUCUCCGGUUUAUAUAGACACCGGAGAGAUCUAGGGUUACAUGGGGUCGGUUACAUAAGAAGGAAUCUUCAUAGUCGGUCGCCAAGCUUGCCCUCCACGCCAAGUAGAGUCCAAUCCGGACACGGUGCAGUCUUCCGCCUUCAUGUCUUCACAGCCCAUCAGUCCGGCCCAUGGAUAGCAGGCCGGACGCCCGAGGACCCCUUAGUCCAGGACUCCCUCAGCGGGUACCGUUAUUUUCUCACCUUCACAGAUGAUUUGACCAGAUAUGGGUAUAUCUACUUGAUGAAACAUAAGUCUGAAACAUUUGAAAAGUUCAAAGAAUUUCAGAGUGAAGUGGAAAAUCAUUGAUACGUCUCCAACGUAUGUAUAAUUUUUUAUUGUUCCAUGCUAUAUUAUAUUCUGUUCUGGAUGUUUAAUGGGAUUUAUUAUACACUUUUAUAUUAUUUUUGGGACUAACCUAUUAACCGGAGGCCCAGCCCAAAUUGCUGUUUUUUUGCCUAUUUCAGAGUUUCGCAGAAAAAGAAUAGCAAACGAAGUCCAAACGGAAUGAAACCUUCAGGAACGUGAUUUUCGGAACAAACGUGAUCCAGAUGACUUGGAGUCCAUGUAAAGAAAGCAACAAGGAGAGCACGAGGCAGGGGGCGCACCUCCCAGGCACGCCCUCCACCCUCGUGGCGCCCAUGUUGCUCCACCGACGUACUUCUUCCUCCUAUAUAUACCUACGUACCCCCAAACCAACAGAAGCAUCCACGAAAACCUAAUUCCACCGCCGCAACCUUCUGUACCCGUGAGAUCCCAUCUUGGGGCCUUUUCCGGCGUCCUGCCGGAGGGGGCAUUGAUCACGGAGGGCUUCUACAUCAACACCAUAGCCCCUCCGAUGAUGUGUGAGUAGUUUACCUCAGACCUUCAGGUCCAUACUUAUUAGCUAGAUGGCUUCUUCUCUCUUUUUGGAUCUCAAUACAAAGUUCUCCACGAUUCUCGUGGAGAUCUAUUCGAUGUAAUCUUCUUUUUUGCGGUGUGUUUGUCGAGACCGAUGAAUUGUGGGUUUAUGACCAAGUUUAUCUAUGAACAAUAUUUGAAUCUUCUCUGAAUUCUUUUAUGUAUGAUUGGUUAUCUUUGCAAGUCUCUUCGAAUUAUCAGUUUGGUUUGGCCUACUAGAUUGAUCUUUCUUGCAAUGGGAGAAGUGCUUAGGUUUGGGUUCAAUCUUGCGGUGUCCUUUCCCAGUGACAGCAGGGGCAGCAAGGCACAUAUUGUAUUGUUGCCAUCGAGGAUAAAAAGAUGGGGUUUAUAUCAUAUUGCAUGAGUUUAUCCCUCUACAUCAUGUCAUCUUACUUAAAGCAUUACUCUGUUCUUAUGAACAUAAUACUCUAGAUGCAUGUUGGAUAGCGGUCGAUGUGUGGAGUAAUAGUAGUAGAUGCAGAAUCGUUUCGGUCUACUUGUCGCGGACGUGAUGCCUAUAUACAUGAUCAUACCUAGAUAUUCUCAUAACUAUGCUCAAUUCUAUCAAUUGCUCGACAGUAAUUUGUUUACCCACCGUAAUACUUAUGCUCUUGAGAGAAGCCACUAGUGAAACCUAUGGCCCCGGGUCUAUUUUCCAUCAUAUUAAUCUUCCAACACUUAGUUAUUUCUAUUGCCGUUUAUUUACUUUGCAUCUCUAUUUACUCUUUAUCAUAAAAAUACCAAAAAUAUUAUCCUAUCAUAUCUAUCAGCUCUCACUCUCGUAAGUGACCAUGAAGGGAUUGACAACCCCUUUAUCGCGUUGGUUGCGAGGUUCUUGUUUGUUUGUGUAGGUGCGUGGGACUCGCGCGUGGUCUCCUACUGGAUUGAUACCUUGGUUCUCAAAAACUGAGGGAAAUACUUACGCUACUUUACUGCAUCACCCUUUCCUCUUCAAGGGAAAACCAACGCAGUGCUCAAGAGGUAGCAAGAAGGAUUUCUCGCGCUGUUGCCGGGGAGUCUACGCACAAGUCAAGACAUACCAAGUACCCAUCACAAACUCAUCUCCCUCGCAUUACAUUAUUUGCCAUUUGCCUCUCAUUUUCCUCUCCCCCACUUCACCCUUGCUGUUUUAUUCGCCCUCUCUUUUCCGUUCGCCUCUUUUCCGCUUGCUUCUUGUUUGCUCGUGUGUUGGAUUGCUUGCUUGUCACGAUGGCUCAAGACAAUACUAAAUUGUGUGACUUUACCAAUACCAACAACAAUGAUUUUCUUAGCACUCCGAUUGCUCCUCUUACUGAUGCUGAGUCUUGUGAAAUAAAUGCUGCUUUGUUGAAUCUUGCCAUGAAAGAUCAAUUCGCCGGCCUUCCUAGUGAAGAUGCCGCUACCCAUUUAAAUAGCUUCGUUGAUUUGUGUGAUAUGAAAAAGAAGAAAGAUGUGGACAAUGAUAUUGUUAAAUUGAAGCUAUUUUCUUUUUCACUUAGAGAUCGUGCCAAAGUUUGGUUUUCGUCUUUGCCUAAAAAUAGCAUUGAUUCAUGGAAUAAGUGCAAAGAUGCUUUUAUCUCUAAGUAUUUUCCUCCCGCUAAAAUCAUCUCUCUUAGAAACGAUAUAAUGAAUUUUAAGCAACUUGAUCAUGAACAUGUUGCACAAGCUUGGGAGAGGAUGAAAUUAAUGAUACGUAAUUGCCCUACACAUGGUUUGAAUCUUUGGAUGAUUAUACAAAAAAUUAUUGCGGAUUGAAUUUUGCUUCUAGAAAUCUUUUAGAUUCGGCCGCGGGAGGCACUUCUAUGCAAAUCACUUUAGGAGAAGCUACUAAACUCCUAGAUAAUAUUAUCGUUAAUUAUUCUCAAUGGCACACCAAAAGAUCUACUAAUAAAAAAGUACAUGCGAUAGAAGAAAUUAAUGUUUUGAGUGGAAAGAUGGAUGAACUUAUGAAAUUAUUUGCUACUAAAAGUUUUUCUUCUGAUCCUAAUGAUAUGCCUUUGUCUACUUUGAUUGACAAUAAUAAUGAAUCUAUGGAUGUGAAUUUUGUUGGUAGGAAUAAUUUUGGUAACAACGCAUAUAGAGGAAACUUUAAUCCUAGGCCGUCCCUACUAAUUCCACUAAUAAUUAUGGUAAUUCCUACAACAACUCUUAUGGAAAUUUUAAUAAGAUGCCCUCUGAAUUUGAGACUAGUGUUAAGGAGUUUAUGAAUUCACAAAAGAAUUUCAAUGCUUUGCUUGAAGAAAAAUUGCUCAAGGUUGAUGAAUUGGCUAGGAACGUUGAUAGAAUUUCUCUUGAUUUUGAUUCUUUGAAACUUAGAUCUAUCCCACCUAAGCAUGAUAUCAAUGAGUCUCUCAAAGCCAUGAGAAUUUCCAUUGAUGAGUGCAAAGAAAGAACCGCUAGGAUGCGUGCCAAGAAAGAUUGCUUUGUAAAAGCAUGUUCUUCUAGUUUUUAUGAGAAUAAAGAUAAAUAUAUCUAAAAGUUAUUGAUGUGUCCCCUAUUAAAUAUUUGUUUUGCAAUAUGAAUCUUGAUAAUGAUGGGACUGGAUAUGAGCCACCUUUACCUAGAAGGCGUCCCAAAAAUUUGGAGUUUUAGAUCUUGAUGCAAAAAUUGGUAAAAGUGGGAUUGAAGAGAUCAAAACUUUAGAUAUUAAUGAACCCACUAUUUUGGAUUUGAAGGAAUUUAAUUAUGAUAAUUUCUCUUUGAUAGAUUGUAUUUCCUUGUUGCAAUCCGUGCUAAAUUCUCCUCCUGCUUAUAGCCAAAAUAAAGCUUUCCUAAACAUAUCGUUGAUGCUUGGAUGCAAUCUUACGAAUAAAAACUUGAGUUGGAAGUUUCUAUCCCUAGAAAACUUUAUGAUGAGUGGGAACCUACUAUUAAAAUUAAAAUUAAAGAUCAUGAAUGCUAUGCUUUGUGUGAUUUGGGUGCUAGUGUUUCCACGAUUCCAAAAACUUUGUGUGAUUUGUUAGGUUUUCGCGAAUUUGAUGAUUGCUCUUUAAACUUGCACCUUGCGGAUUCCACUAUUAAGAAACCUAUGGGAAGAAUUAAUGAUGUUCUUAUUGUUGCAAAUAGGAACUAUGUGCCCGUAUAUUUCAUUGUUCUUGACAUAGAUUGCAAUCCUUCAUGUCCUAUUAUUCUUGGUAGACCUUUCCUUAGAACGAUUGGUGCAAUUAUUGAUAUGAAGGAAGGGAACAUUAGAUUCCAAUUUCCAUUAAGGAAAGGCAUGGAACACUUCCCUAGAAAGAAAAUAAAAUUACCUUAUGAAUCUAUUAUGAGAGCCACUUAUAGAUUGCCUACCAAAGAUGGCAAUACCUAGAUCUAUCCUUGCUUUUAUGCCUAGCUAGGGGCGUUAAACGAUAGCGCUUGUUGGGAGGCAACCCAAUUUUAUUUUUAGUUUUUUUUUUGCUUUUUGCUUCUGUUUAGGAAAAAAUAUUUGAUCUAGCUUCUGUUUAGAUUUGUUUUUAUGUUUUAAUUAGUGUUUGUGCCAAGUUAAACCUAUAGGAUCUUCUUGGAUGAUAGUUAUUUGAUCUUGCUGAAAAUUCCAGAAACUUUCUGUUCACGAAAACAAUUGUUAAAAAUCACCAGAACAUGAUAAAAUACUGAUUCCAAUUGCAGCAGAUCAAUAAACAAAUUGUCUAGGCCGUCCUAUUUUGGCAGAUGUUUUUUGAGUUCCAGAAGUUCGCGUUAGUUACAGAUUACUACAGACUGUUCUGUUUUUGACAGAUUCUGUUUUUCGUGUGUUGUUUGCUUAUUUUGAUGAAUCUAUGGCUAGUAAAAUAGUUUAUAAACCAUAGAUAAGUUGGAGUACAGUAGGUUUAACACCAAUAUAAAUAAAGAAUUAGUUCAUUACAGUACCUUGAAAUGGUAUUUUGCUUUUUUUUCGCUAACGGAGCUCACGAGAUUUUCUACUAAGUUUUGUGUAGUGAAGUUUUCAAGUUUUGGGUAAAAGAUUUGAUGGAUUAUGGAAUAAGGAGUGGCAAGAGCCUAAGCUAGGGGAUGCCCAUGGCACCCCAAGAUAAUCUAAGGACACCAAAAAGCCAAAGCUUGGGGAUGCCCCGGAAGGCAUCCCCUCUUUCGUCUACUUCCAUCGGUAACUUUACUUGGAGCUAUAUUUUUAUUCACCACAUGAUAUGUGUUUUGCUUGGAGCGUCUUGUAUGAUUUGAGUCUUUGCUUUUUAGUUUACCACAAUCAUCCUUUCUGUACACACCUUUUGAGAGAGAGACACAAAUCGGAAUUUAUUAGAAUACUCUAUGUGCUUCACUUAUAUCUUUUGAGCUAUAUAGUUUUUGCUCUAGUGCUUCACUUAUAUCUUUUAGAGCACGGUGGUGGAUUUGUUUUAUAGAAACUAUUGAUCUCUCAUGCGUCACUUAUAUUAUUUUGAGAGUCUUGAAACAGCAUGGCAGUUUGCUUUAAUUAUAAUAUCAUGAGAAAUUUUAUGCUUGAUAAUUGUUUUGAGAUAUAAAGGUGGUAAUAUCAUAGUUGUGCUAGUUGAGUAAUUGUGAAAUUGAGAAAUACUUGUGUUGGAGUUUGUGAUUCCCGUAGCAUGCACGUAUGGUGAACUGUUAUGUAACGAAGUCGGAGCAUGAGGUAUUUGUUGAUUGUCAUCCUUUGUGUGGCGGUCGGGAUCGCGCGAUGGUUAACUCCUACCAACCCUUCCCCUAGGAGCAUGCGUAGUAGUACUUUGCUUCGAGGGCUAAUAAAUUUUUGCAAUAAGUAUAUGAGUUCUUUAUGACUAAUGUGAGUCCAUGGAUUAUACGCACACUUACCUUUCCGCAAUUUUCUAGCCUCUUCGGUACCGUGCAUUGCCCUUUCUCACCUUGAGAGUUGGUGCAAACUUCGCCGGUGCAUCCAAACCCCGUGACAUGAUACGCUCUAUCACACAUAAAACUCCUUAUACCUUCCUCAAAGCAGCCACCAUACCUACCUAUUAUGGCAUUUCCAUAGCCAUUCCGAGAUAUAUUGCCAUGCAACUUUCCACCGUUUCGUUUAUCAUGACAUGCUCCAUCAUUGUCAUAUUGCUUUGCAUGAUCAUGUCGUUGACAUCGUAUUUGUGGCAAAGCCACCGUUCAUAAUUCUUUCAUACAUGUCACUCUUGAUUCAUUGCAUAUCCCGGUACACCGCCGGAGGCAUUCACAUAGAGUCAUAUCUUGUUCUAAGUAUUGAGUUGUAAUUCAUGAGUUGUAAGUAAAUAAAAGUGUGAUGAUCAUUAUUAUUAGAGCAUUGUCCCAAGUGAGGAAUGGAUGAUGGAGACUAUGAUUCCCCCACAAGUCGCGAUGAGACUCCAGACAAAAAAAAAGAGGCCAAAAAAAGGCCCAAAUAAAAAAAUGAGAGAAAAAGAGAGAAGGGAUAAUGUUACUAUCAUUUUACCACACUUGUGCUUCAAAGUAGCACCGUGAUCUUCAUGAUAGAGAGUCUCUCAUUUUGUCACUUUCAUAUACUAGUGGGAAAUUUCAGUAUAGAACUUGGCUUGUAUAUUCCAAUGAUGGGCUUCCUCAAAUGCCCGAGGUCUUCGUGAGCAAGCAAGUUGGAUGCACACACACUUAGAUUCUUUUGUUUGAGCUUUCAUACACUUAUAGCUCUAGUGCAUCCGUUGCACGGCAAUCCCUACUCCUUGCAUUGACAUCAAUUGAUGGGCAUCUCCAUAGCCCGUUGAUUAGCCUCGUCGAUGUGAGACUUUCUCCUUUUUUGUCUUCCCACAUAACCCCUAACAUUAUACCUUAUUCCACCAUAGUGCUAUAUCCAUGGCUUGCGCUCAUGUAUUGCGUAAAAGUUGAAAAGGCUGAAGCGCGUUAAAGAGUAUGAACCAAUUGCUUGGCUAAAACCGGGGUUGUACAUGAUAUGAAUAUUUUGUGUGGGGAAGAUGGAGCAUAGCCAGACUAUAUGAUUUUGUAGGGAUAACUUGCUUUGGCUAUGUUAUUUUGAUAAGACAUAAUUACUUGGUUAGCAUGCUUGAAGUAUUAUUGUUUUUAUGUCAAUAUUAAACUUUUAUCUUGAAUCAUAUCGAAACUGAACAUUCAUGCCACAAUAAGAAGAACUACAUUGAAAUUAUGCUAAGUAGCAUUCCACAUCAAAAAUUCUGUUUCUAUCAUCUACCUACUCAAGGACGAGCAGGAAUUAAGCUUGGGGAUGCUUAAUACGUCUCCAACGUAUCUAUAAUUUUUUAUUGUUCCAUGCUAUAUAUAUUCUGUUUUGGAUGUUUAAUGGGCUUUAUUAUACACUUUUAUAUUAUUUUUGGGACUAACCUAUUAACCGGAGGCCCAGCCCAAAUUGCUGUUUUUUUGCCUAUUUCAGAGUUUUGCAGAAAAAGAAUAUCAAACGUAGUCCAAACGGAAUGAAACCUUCGGGAACGUGAUUUUCGGAACAAACGUGAUCCAGAGGACUUGGAGUCCAUGUAAAGAAAGCAACAAGGAGAGCACGAGGCAGGGGCGCGCCUACCCCCCUCCAGGCGCGCCCUCCACCCUCGUGGGGCCCACGUUGCUCCACCGACGUACUUCUUCCUCCUAUAUAUACCUACGUACCCCCAAACCAAGAGAAGCAUCCACGAAAACCUAAUUCCACCGCCGCAACCUUCUGUACCCGUGAGAUCCCAUCUUGGGGCCUUUUCCGGCGUCCUGCCGGAGGGGGCAUUGAUCACGGAGGGCUUCUACAUCAACACCAUAGCCCCUCCGAUGAUGUGUGAGUAGUUUACCUCAGACCUUCGGGUCCAUAGUUAGUAGCUAGAUGGCUUCUUAUCUCUUUUUGGAUCUCAAUACAAAGUUCUCCACGAUUCUCGUGGAGAUCUAUUCGAUGUAAUCUUCUUUUUGUGGUGUGUUUGUCGAGACCGAUGAAUUGUGGGUUUAUGAUCAAGUUUAUCUAUGAACAAUAUUUGAAUCUUCUCUGAAUUCUUUUAUGUAUGAUUGGUUAUCUUUGCAAGUCUCUUCGAAUUAUCAGUUUGGUUUGGCCUACUAGAUUGAUCUUUCUUGCAAUGGGAGAAGUGCUUAUCUUUGGGUUCAAUCUUGCGGUGUCCUUUCCCAGUGACAGCAUGGGAAGCAAGGCACGUAUUGUAUUGUUGCCAUCGAGGAUAAAAAGAUGGGGUUUAUAUCAUAUUGCAUGAGUUUAUCCCUCUACAUCAUGUCAUCUUACUUAAAGCAUUACUCUGUUCUUAUGAACUUAAUACUCUAGAUGCAUGCUGGAUAGCGGUCGAUGUGUGGAGUAAUAGUAGUAGAUGUAGAAUCGUUUCGGUCUACUUGUCGCGGACGUGAUGCCUAUAUACAUGAUCAUACCUAGAUAUUCUCAUAACUAUGCUCAAUUCUAUCAAUUUCUCGACAGUAAUUUGUUUACCCACCGUAAUACUUAUGCUCUUGAGAGAAGCCACUAGUGAAACCUAUGGCCCCCGGGUCUAUUUUCCAUCAUAUUAAUCUUCCAACACUUAGUUAUUUCUAUUGCCGUUUAUUUUACUUUGCAUCUCUAUUUACUCUUUAUCAUAAAAAUACCAAAAAUAUUAUCCUAUCAUAUCUAUCAGAUCUCACUCUCGUAAGUGACCGUGAAGGGAUUGACAACCCCUUUAUCGUGUAGGUUGUGAGGAUCUUGUUUGUUUGUGUAGGUGCGUGGGACUCGCGCGUGGUCUCCUACUGGAUUGAUACCUUGGUUCUCAAAAACUGAGGGAAAUACUUACGCUACUUUACUGCAUCACCCUUUCCUCUUCAAGGGAAAACCAACGCAGUGCUCAAGAGGUAGCAAUCAUCAUAACAAGAAAAUAAAGUUUCUACGAUCUGAUCGUGGAGGAGAAUAUUUGAGUUACGAGUUUGGUCUUCAUUUGAAACAAUGCAGAACAGUUUCGCAACUCACGCCACCCGGAACAUCACAUCGCAAUGGUGUGUUCGAACGUCGUAAUCGUACUUUGCUGGAUAUGGUGCGAUCUAUGAUGCCUCUUACUGAUUUACCGCUAUCAUUUUGGGGUUAUGCUUUAGAGACGGCUGCAUUCACGUUAAAUAUGGCACCAUCUAAAUCCAUUGAGACGACACCUUAUGAACUGUGGUUUGGCAAGAAACCCAAGUUGUUGUUUCUUAAAGUUUGGGGCUGCGAUGCUUAUGUGAAAAAGCUUCAACCUGAUAAGCUCGAACCCAAAUCGGAGAAAUGUGUCUUCAUAGGAUACCCAAAGGAGACUGUUGGGUACACCUUCUAUCACAGAUCCGAAGGCAAGACAUUCGUUGCUAAGAAUGGAUCCUUUCUAGAGAAGGAGUUUCUCUCGAAAGAAGUGAGUGGGAGGAAAGUAGAACUUGAUGAGGUAAGUGUACCUGCUCCCUUAUUGGAAAGUAGUUCAUCACAGAAAUCUGUUCCUGUGACUCCUACACCAAUUAGUGAGGAAGCUAAUGAUGAUGAUCAUGUAACUUCAGAUCAAGUUACUACCGAACCUCGUAGGUCAACGAGAGUAAGAUCCGCACCAGAGUGGUACGGUAAUCCUGUUCUGGAGGUCAUGUUACUUGACCAUGACGAACCUACGAACUAUGAGGAAGCGAUGAUGAGCCCAGAUUUCGCGAAAUGGCUUGAGGCCAUGAAAUCUGAGAUGGGAUCCAUGUAUGAGAACAAAGUGUGGACUUUGUUGACAUUCCUGAUGAUCGGCAAGCCAUCGAGAAUAAAUGGAUCUUCAAGAAGAAGACUGACGCUGACGGUAAUGUUACUGUCUACAAAGCUCGACUAGUUGCGAAAGGUUUUCGACAAGUUCAAGGAGCUGACUAUGAUGAGACCUUCUCACCCGUAGCGAUGCUUAAGUCCGUCUGAAUCAUGUUAGCAAUUGUUGCAUUUUAUGAUUAUGAAAUUUGGCAAAUGGAUGUAAAGACUGCAUUCCUGAAUGGAUUUCUGGAAGAAGAGUUGUAUAUGAUGCAACUUGAAGGUUUUAUCGAUCCAAAGGAUACUAGCAAAGUGUGCAAGCUCCAGCGAUCCAUUUAUGGACUAGUACAAGCAUCUCGGAGUUGCAAUAAACUUUUUGAUAGUGUGAUCAAAGCAUAUGGUUUUAUACAGAAUUUUGGAGAAGCCUGUAUUUACAAGAAAGUGAGUGGGAGCUCUCUAGCAUUUCUAAUAUUAUAUGUGGAUGACAUAUUAUUGAUUGGAAAUGAUAUAGAAUUUCUGGAUAGCAUAAAAGGAUACUUGAACAAGAGUUUUUCAAUGAAUGACCUCGGUGAAGCUGCUUAUAUAUUAGGCAUCAAGAUCUAUAGAGAUAGUUCAAGACGCCUAAUUGGACUUUCACAAAGCGCAUACCUUGAUAAAGUUUUGAAGAAGUUCAAAAUGGAUCAAGCAAAGAAAGGGUUCUUGCAUGUGUUACAAGGUGUGAAGUUGAGUCAGACUCAAUGCCCGACCACUACAGAAGAUAGAGAGAAAAUGAAAGGUGUUCCCUAUGCUUCAGCCACAGGCUCUAUCAUGUAUGCAAUGUUGUGUACCAGACCUGAUGUGUGCCUUGAUAUCAGUUUAGCAGGGAGGUACCAAAGUAAUCCAGGAGUGGAUCACUAGACAGCGGUCAAGAACAUCAUGAAAUACCUGAAAAGGACUAAGGAUAUGUUUCUCGUUUAUGGAGGUGACAAAGAGCUCGUCGUAAAUGGUUAGAUCGAUGCAAGCUUUGACACUGAUCUGGAUGACUCUAAGUCACAAACCGGAUACGUGUUUAUAUUGAACGGUGGAGCUGUUAGUUGGUGCAGUUCUAAGCAAAGCGUCGUGGCGGGAUCUAUGUGUGAAGCAGACUACAUAGCUACUUCGGAAGCAGCAAAUGAAGGAGUCUAGAUGAAGGAGUUCAUAUCCUAUCUAGGUGUCAUACCUAGUGCAUCGGGUCCAACGAAGACUUUUUGUGACAACACUGGUGCAAUGGCCUUGUCAAAGGAAUCCAGAUUUCACAAGAGAACCAAGCACAUCAAGAGACGCUUCAAUUCCAUCCGCGAUCAAGUCAAGGAGGGAGACAUAGAGAUUUGCAAGAUACAUACGUAUUUGAAUGUUGCAGACCCGUUGACUAAGCCUCUCUCACGAGCAAAACAUGAUCAGCACCAAGACUCCAUGGGUGUUAGAAUCAUUACUGUGUAAUCUAGAUUAUUGACUCUAGUGCAAGUGGGAGACUGAAGGAAAUAUGCCCUAGAGGCAAUAAUAAAGUUGUUAUUUAUAUUUCCUUAUAUCAUGAUAAAUGUUUAUUAUUCAUGCUAGAAUUGUAUUAACCGGAAACUUAGUACAUGUGUGAAUACAUAGACAAACAAAGUGUCACUAGUAUGCCUCUACUUGACUAGCUCGUUGAAUCAAAGAUGGUUAAGUUUCCUAGCCAUAGACAUGAGUUGUCAUUUGAUUAACGGGAUCACAUCAUUAGAGAAUGAUGUGAUUGACUUGACCCAUUCCGUUAGCUUAGCACUUGAUCGUUUAGUAUAUUGCUAUUGCUUUCUUCAUGACUUGUACAUGCUCCUAUGACUAUGAGAUUAUGCAACUCCCGAAUACCAGAGGAACACUUUGUGUGCUACCAAACAUCACAACGUAACUGGGUUAUUAUAAAGGUGCGUUAUAGGUGUCUCCGAUGGUACUUGUUGAGUUGGUAUAGAUCGAGAUUAGCAUUUGUCACUCCGAUUGUGGGAGAGGUAUCUCUGGGCCCUCUCGGUAAUGCACAUCACUAUAAGCCUUGCAAUCAAUGUGACUAAUGAGUUAGUUGCGGGAUGAUGCAUUACGGAACGGGUAAAGGGACUUGCCAGUAACGAUAUUGAACUAGGUAUUGAGAUACCGACGAUCGAAUCUCGGGCAAGUAACAUACUGAUGACAAAGGGAACAACGUAUUUUGUUAUGCGGUUUGACCAAUAAAGAUCUUCGUAGAAUAUGUGGGAGCCAAUAUGAGCAUCCAGGUUCCGCUAUUGGUUAUUGACCAGAGACGUGUCUCGGUCAUGUCUACAUAGUUCUCGAACCCGUAGGGUCCGCACGCUUAAUGUUCGGUGACGAUCGGUUUAUGAGUUUAUGUGUUUUGAUGUACCGAAGGUAGUUCAGAGUCCCGGAUAUGAUCACUGACAUGACGAGGAGUCUUGAAAUGGUCGAGACAUAAAGAUCGAUAUAUUGGAAGCCUAUGUUUGGACAUCGGAAUGGUUUCGGAAGAGUUCGGGCAUUUACCGGAGUACCGGGAGGUUACCGGAACCCCCCGGGGAGUCAAUGGGCCUUAAUGGGCCAUAGUGGAAAGGAGGAGGAGGAGGCCAAGGUGGGGGCGCCCCCCCCCCCCAAAGCCCAAUCCGAAUUGGGAGGGGGGCCGGCCCCCCUUUCCUUCUCCCCCUUCCUUCCCUCUCCUACUCCAACUAGGGAAGGGGGAAUCCUACUCCCACCGGAAGUAGGACUCCCCCCUUGGGCGCGCCUAGGAGGCCGACCGUCUCCCCCUCCUCCACUCCUUUAUAUACGGGGGAGGGGCACCCCAUAGACACACAAGUUGAUCAUUGAUCUUUUAGCCGUGCGCGGUGCCCCCUCCACCAUAAUCCACCUCGGUCAUAUCGUUGCAGUACUUAGGCGAAGCCCUGCGCCGAUAGCUUCAUCAUCACCGUCAUCACACCAUCAUGCUGACGAAGCUCUCCCUUGACACUCUGUGGAUCGUGAGUUCGUGGGACGUCACCGAGCUGAACGUGUUCAGAUCACGGAGGUGCCGUACUUUUGGUACUAGGAUCGGUCGAUCGUGAAGACGUACGACUACAUCAACUGCGUUGUCAUAACGCUUCCGCUUACGGUCUAUGAGGGUAUGUGGACAACACUCUCCCCUCUCGUUGCUAUGCAUCACCAUGAUCUUGCGUGUGCGUAGGAUUUUUUUUGAAAUUACUACGUUCCCCAACAUCCAACCCAUCGAUGCAUCGACCAAAGCAACACAAGACAAAUUAUCCACGGGAAUGACUUCUACUUCAUCAUCCACCCAAUGUAUUAAGAACCGAUGCAUGGUUGAUGACACACAUUGGUUAGCAUGAACCAUUCGCGGCCUAAUAUAACAUUAUAGUUACCUUGCACCUCGGCGAUGAAGAAUGUGGCGGCCAAAGUUUUGCUUCCCACAGUAAGUUCCAUGCACAUCACACCUUUGGCCUCUGUCUUUUCUUUACCCUCAAUCCAUUAAGCACCAUAUUGGUCUUCAUCAAUGCAUCGUCAUGUAAUCCCAACUUCUUGAAGACCGAGUAGGGCAUAAAAUUUACCACAGCACCACCAUCAACGAGCAUCCUAGCAAUUGGCGAUCCGUUAAUAUGACCUUUGAGGUACAAUGGCUUCAAGUGUUUCACUGGUUCUUUUGGUUUCUCGAAGAUAGCAUUCUUAGGACCAAAAUCUAGCCGGGCCACCUCCCCCUAUUCACCUAUAGCACGAAACUCGGUAGGUAAGUAAUACGCCAUAUUAAUAUCCAUACCUCCCUGAAUGGACAUAAAUUCGUAAUCCACCAUCUCAUCUUCAUCUCCCAAUGUGUAUAUUGGACUUGAAGUUUCCUCAAUUAAAGGGGAUGAUUCAGGUGGUGUGGACGAUGUAAUAGGGACCACAUCAUCCUCUUUGGUGGUGUAGGUGAUGCUGUAGUUAAUGUAAAAGCAUAUGUGUUUCCUUUUGGUUUAGGCUCCCACACUUGUUGUGUGGAUGCCACUGGCCGAAUUUCAUUUAACAAUUCGUCACUUUGCUCCUCUACAUCAUGUGUCGCCUUCUUGUGGUUGCUCAUGCGUUGCAAUCUCCUUUUCAUGGUCUUAGUUAAUCCGGGAGGACACCACUUAGGUUGAGUAUAUUUGGCAUCCCUAGGCUUGGCCUUGCUUGGAGAAUUUUGUGUUGACCGAUUAGCACCAUGGCUUGAACGACCUUGUGUAGGAUAAUAAAGCCUCUCGUGAGCAGGCCUUCUAGGUGCUGCCCACCCCAUAUGAAAAGCAUAAGGAGCCAUUGGGGGCUGCCCCCAUCCUCCAUUGAAGUCUCCCAUGUAAUAUGGCGCAUAGGGGGGCGGCGACAUCCACUGUGUCGGUGUCCAUGACCCAUAUGGCCUUGCAUAGCAUCGAAAUUCUUGCUUCGGAGGUGAUCUUGAAUGCCUCGAAUGUGAUGGUUGAUUAGAGCUAGAACUGGCCGCUUGAUUGGCAUAUUUGGAUAGCAACAUAUCAAAAGUUGGCUUGAUUCGCUUGUGCUUAGCUUCAGUCUUUUUCCACUUGCCAACUUCUGAAUUCUUGGGCUUGAUAAAUUUAACAUGACUAUCCCGUUGUACUUGUGGUUGCCCCCCGGUUGAAGCAAUUUUAUGGUGAUCUUCAAUACCUCCUUGCCAUUGGGUUGCUUAUCAAGCACAACCUCCCUUCCCAAGACUUUGUCACCCUCCUCGCCUUUCCUGGGUUCACCAACAACAACAUUAUCUUUAUUAGCAGAUUCGGCUAUGUUAGGCCAAAUUAACAUUUUCUUCCCACCCAAGUCCAUGGUGUUUACCGGGAAGGGUUGUUUAUCAACUUGCAUCAUGGAAAAAUACAAUUGGCCAUCAUUAAUGGCCGAUUGUAUCUUCAUCGAAAAACAUUGCAAUCAUUAGUAGCAUGAGAAAAUGAAUUAUGGUACUUGCAAUAUGCACGCUGUUUCAGCUCCUCAAACGACGGUAUGGUGUGUUAUAUUCUAAUCAUCUUAUCUUGCAAGAGGGCAUCAAAUAUUUUAUCACACUUAGAUAUAUAAAAAGUAAACUUGAUCUCCUCAUCACAAUUCUUGCGAAUCGGCUUAAGAGCAUUGCAUGUAUAGGGUUUUGCCUUUGAGGACCAAACAAACUCAGUAGUAUAGACAUCAACCUCAUCAUCCGAAUUAUCAUCAUUGUAUUCAACCAUAUGCAUUCUAGGACCAUCGUUGGUAGACCUAUGAACCUCUUUACUUCGACUCUCUUGAGCCAAAGCUUUUUGUAAGACUUUGUUAAUAUUCAAAAACCCAUAAUUUUCUAGCCUCUCUUUAAUGUGAGUUUUUAAACCAUUAAGAACAAGAUCGGCCAAGUCUCUUUCGGUUAUCACUAAGUUAUAACAUCGGUUUUUUUAUAUCUCUAAACCUCUUGACAUAAUUGGUAAUUGAUUCAUCAUGUUUUUGCCUAAUCGAUGUAAGAUGUGACAACUUAAGCUCAUUAUCGCCGCUAUAAAAGUGAUCAUGAAACGUUUGCUCUAAUUGCAACCAUAAGAGAAUUGAACCGUGCGGUAAAGCGGCAAACCAUGAAAAUGCGGUGCCAGUUAAAGAUAAGGGAAAUAAAUGCACUUUCAAUUCUUCUAUGGAACCUGCUUCACCUAACUGCGCUAGAUACUGACUGACAUGCUCCCAUGUUGUUUUCGUGCCCUCUCCACUAAAUUUAACAGAAUCAGGAAUCUUGUAACCUUGAGUGUACAAAGCUGCAUCAAAGUGUUCAGGAUAACACUUUUGGUACACACAACUCUUUACUUUCGGCUCAUUUUCGGAAGUUUCUAGAAACAUCUUAUACAAAUCCUCCCUUAAUUUGGCUAAAAUUGGAUCCGAGGUAGAUGAAGAUGCUUGUGGCGAUGACAUAAGAGCCACCUGAUUACUAGCUAAUGGUGCAACUUGUGGGAUUGGCGCCGCGGAAGAUCAAACAUGCUUGUGCCUAUGCGUGGUAUGACAAAGUGAUUCGGCAUUGACGCCAAAUAGGGAACUCUCAUAAUAGGAUUAGGAUAUGUAGGUGCAACCACAAGCUGGUUGGUUUGACUAGGGUAAGAAUUCACCAGCAUACCAUAUUGUUGUUGCAUAGGAGGUGCCGAUGAAAUAGGUAAAGUUGGACUAGGAUUUUCAGAUAUACCAACAGUACCACUAGAUGACGGAGGCAUAUUUUUCUAAGCAUUAUCACUUGCUACGAAAGAAUUUUAUGUCAUCACAUUACCCUUACUAACAAGACUUUCAAUCACAACCACUUGCUCUGGAGAAAAAACUUUACUCACGGUGAUUUCAUCUUGUUCGUCAAUGAGAGGAGGGAAAUUGACGUUUCCGACCAUAGUGAUGUUGCAUUGACGGUCCUUCUUGAAACUUGCAAGAAACGCCUCCAAAUCCUCCUCCUCGCGCUUCUUCUUGAGCGCCUCAAAAACCUCUUCACGUCGCUUCUUAUGCGUUUCAUAGGCUUGGCGAUGUUCCUCUGAUAGUUCAUCAAGACUGGGUUUAAUGAUGUUAUCGGCGUCAACUUCUGAGGUCUUGGGGAGAUUAGACUUGGUUGAUGAUGAUUCUUGAUCUUUCCUCUCUAGCGGAGUCGCCAAAAAGUGUGUUCGCACACGAACACGUCACCGUGUACCUCCAAGGCCGAGGGUGAUCCACCGCAACUCACGCCGAAGGAGACCCGCCCAGAAGCGCGGUACGCAAGCAAUCCGACAGAUGCUUUUGAGGACCCGAAACCCCACACGCCUGGGAGCGACCCUGCUUGGAGGCACGGCGGCUAUGGGCUGCCCUAGGUCGAUUCACUCGCCCCUAGAGCCUCCAGGAUCGGCCCUUCAACACGAAGAACGAGAGAGAAAGAACAAGGGAGAGAUGUAAAAAAGUAGUAUAUUGAUUUGUCGAUUGUGUGUUGUUCAAUCGGCCGUCACCUCUCAUCUGUUUAUGAGGCGGUUGGAUUUCCCGUACAUGAAAAGGACUAAAAUCCCAUCCAAAACAUUAAAAAUCCUAACCUAACUCGGACAGGAAUCUUUGACAAUUUUUGGGAUCAACUCGAAGCCACCGAGUGGUUUGCUACGGUCCCAUCGAGAGAACGUGGACAACCUUCUGUAAUCUUGUGUAUCUCACUCGGAAUUUCUGAGUGGUUUCACUCGGAAUUACCAAGUCAACUCAGUCUCACCGAGUCAAAUCAACUUGGUCGGUCCGAAAUGACUAAGCAGCUUCUGUUUUGGUUGCAUACGAUCUCGUAUUAAGACGAAUUUAUAUGAAAAUCGACCGUUUCAACGAGACGCACAACUUUGAUGUCUUUUUGCAUCCGAGGCCAUAUUAACUGAGUAUCAUGCCAUUUAAGAAUCUGAUGUCAAGACGAGCAUUUGUGAAAUUGUCGUAAUUUUUGCAUCCGAGCUCUGUUUUGUACCAUCUCCGUAUCCAUUUUGAUCUUCUUGAAGAGAGCCACUCGAAGGUGACUUCCAAUCAUAAGUUUGAAUUAAUCUUGACAUAACUUUAAGCUACUUUUAUGAUUGUGUCACUUUUUAGCGUCAACACCCUGUAUGAACCGAAGCAAAAUACCCAUGACAAAAGUGCCAUAAUUUGUAGCCAUAAGCUGGUAACCACAGCAUGAACAUCCUGCUAACUAUAGUUGUGUCAUAAUUGUAACUAUACCAUCGACGACUCAUAACUAUAACCAUGUUGGCCAUGUUGGUAACAAAGUCGGUAAAUCAUAUAAUUAUGGCACCAUGGUAGACCGUGAUCGCUGGAUCUGGCGAGGAUCAAUGACAUCCACCUCGUUCUCGGGGUGACGUGCAAAUUAUCCCAUAACAAAUCUCCUCCUUAUCCUCCAUCUCAAGAAGAAGAUAGUCGGUGUGAUGACAUGACAUUACCGGUUACGCUAUAAUUUUACGAGUUCCCUUGACAAAUGUCACCGAGCAUCUCUUCGAUACAGUGUUUUAUUGGCCCCGCCGAUGCUUUACCUGGUUCCAACGAUUAUAAAUUGGGUUCCAAUUAGUUAACUCGCACAAUAAUUAGUUAGUCUUGUUAGGAGGUUGUUUGACUCAGCCCACAAUGGUGAGAUUGUGAGUUCCACCUUUGACAAAAAUAUUAUUAAAAAGUUACUUGACUGAAACCAUAAUCACCCAUGUACACGAGGGAAAAACUCAUCUUCGCAUGAAAGCGGCUCCUCUAUCGUGCCCUACCGCCGUUGGGUCACUGACAUGCGGGCCAGGGUCUCAACGGGCCCACAUGUCAGUGGUGGAACGGCAAGGUACCGUACGUCAAACGAGGAUCGUCCGUCUUCACAUACAUGAGAAAAAUCACAGAAAGAAAACCGAAAGAAAUAUCUAGGCGAGAGAGAGAGGAAGAGCGGAAUCGUUCGACCAGAGCACGCCGGAUGAGAUGAGGCGGCUCUAGCUCAAACGUUCAUCAAAUAUAUUUGGCAUUUAGUAAUUCUCUGAUGAGUUGAUGAUAAAUAUAGUGAAGCAGAUGGAUAUGCUCCGUUAUCUCACAAGAUACAAACAGUAAAAAAAAGCACUUAUUUCCAUAUUAUUGACCAAAUAUUUGGUUUUGCUUCUUAUUCUUUGGAACGAGAGGGGGCUGUAGGGGCCUGCCUUUAACAAGACAAUAUGUACUUGACAUGUAGGUACACCAUGCCCGUAGUAGGUCUAGAUUUUUUUUUUGGAGAAAGCAAAGUACUGCCCCCUGUGGUCUGUGGUGUGCCCACUUCUUGCUGCAUGCAUGCCCUGCUGCUCUCUGCCCAUAUUUUUCAGUUUUCCCUCUUUCCUCAGUUCUUCUUCCUCACCUGUCUGUCUGUAGUCUGCUCCUCUCCACCAAAGGACAAAACAACCAAAGCUGCAUGGUUCUUGUACUAUUACAGUAUUAUUUUGCUCUGGUUCUAGUUUAAAAUAAAAUAAUUCAGGGACCCACACGCAUGCUUCCGUGUGCUUAGUCCAAAGCCCCAGCUGUGACUUGGAUUACCCAUGCCCCAAAUGGUGAUUAGACUUAUUAUACCAUGGAAGCAGGCAAUGACAAACAAAUGAUUUGUGGAGUGGUUGGAAAGGUUUGAGGGAAGCAGCACAUGGAGAGAAGACUUGUGUAUGUCCCUCUUCCCCCGGUCCUCCGCCCCUUGGUUAGGCAAGGGAGCUUGUUUCACAAAAGCUUUAUCACUGGCAGGUGGGUCCAACUGAGUUGCCAUAGAUUGGGCCUAUGUGUCAGCCGCUGUGAGCGAGGGAACGAGUUUGAAUGUGUGCAAGUGCUUUUCUGGUCAUUAGGUGUAGGUGGGUGUACUACUUAAGUUGGGUUCCAAGUUGUAGGUGACUUCUUGUGAGUUGUAACAGCAAGAGUAGGACUAGGAGGGACAGAGAAAGCACUGAUGUGGAAAUACAGUGCCAAUCAACGCACAUCAUGGGAACACUGGUCAAGGCAUUGGUCCUUUCAUGUUUUUAUAAAUCAAGCGUGCCAAUUUCCCUCACACGUAUUGCUCAUGUUUAGGCCAUGCGUUUUCUCGAAGCCCAUCCUGGAUCAUCUUUGGGAAGGAGUUUUUAGACGAACUCAUUUCUUUUACGAGAAUUUUUUUAAUUUAUUCAUCAAUUAUGGCAGUACAGAGAACACUAGAAGUAAUAAUUUAUUUCUCAAAUUUUAGUGUGAAAUACAUGUGCCAUCUAAUUGACGACUUGAAUGGUACUUAUUAGACUAACUCUAGCAGAAUCAUCAUCUCUAUCCAAUCAGUAUAAUAACCGUCAGUUUGAUGAUUUUUGUCGAAUUGGACGGUCUAAAAGAGUCGUCAUCCCGUUCUGGAUUGUCGUAAAUACUUUUUUGCAAAAAUAAUCUAGAUUUAUUAUCGAAAUUCAUCGGAAGUAUAAAACAUCUCAAACAUAUAAAAAUUACAUUGAGAUUCUGAGACCACCGACCAACCACUGCCAUCGUCAAAAUGAGCCGCCGACGCGCCGCUGUCGUCGCUCCUCUACCGGAGCCGGGAGGUCUUCGUGCACGUGCCCCUAAGGACCAACACCCUGGAGCUGCAUUCAUCGCCGUUCAACCCUUAAAUAUAUCUGAAGCACCUGACACCAAAUCUCGUUACACGACGAGAAACCAUAACCGUAAUUUAUAGAAGCUGCUCCAAAUCGAGCCCACAAGCCUCCAUAUUUGGAGAUUGUGUGGCAUUGCUUUGGAGCGCACACACACCAUCACAAACUACUUGUGCGGGAGGGAAGUUNNNNNNNNNNNNNNNNNNNNNNNNNNNNNNNNNNNNNNNNNNNNNNNNNNNNNNNNNNNNNNNNNNNNNNNNNNNNNNNNNNNNNNNNNNNNNNNNNNNNNNNNNNNNNNNNNNNNNNNNNNNNNNNNNNNNNNNNNNNNNNNNNNNNNNNNNNNNNNNNNNNNNNNNNNNNNNNNNNNNNNNNNNNNNNNNNNNNNNNNNNNNNNNNNNNNNNNNNNNNNNNNNNNNNNNNNNNNNNNNNNNNNNNNNNNNNNNNNNNNNNNNNNNNNNNNNNNNNNNNNNNNNNNNNNNNNNNNNNNNNNNNNNNNNNNNNNNNNNNNNNNNNNNNNNGACGGGCAAACGACUAUCUCACCGGGAUGUAGGACCGUUAGCGGCAAUUUUCACCACGUUUCCCGCCGACCGUGACUAUAAAAAGGUCGUUGACAUGUCCCACCUAGCUCAUAUCCCUCUCGCCACCCACAGCCUCGACUCCUCCCUCUCCUGCCACGGUCUUUCACAACCUCACUUCCUCAUAAUCCCGAAACACACAACAUUGUUCAAAAUAAUACUAAGGCGUCUCACCUAAUGCUUGGUAUAAUUUUAAACAACUAUGAUAUGAAAAAAGUUGUUAACCGAGCACCAUCGCCAAAAUUAGUACCCCACCGUCAAAAGUACACCCAUGAGGACAAAUCCAUGGUCUCCAUCCGCCUCGUGCUUGCACUCAGUUCCCUCCUUGCCCUCGUCAUCGUGUUCGUGAUUGUCCUCGCCCUCGUCGGGUUUGUGACCGAUGGUGUCAACCUUGUCCCCGUCAUCGUGCUGUGAUGCAUGUGACUAGCGGCUGCUGAGGCAGCAAUCAUGUUGUGGUCACCGGCGACAACUUGGCGUGCGCGCCAUGCCGUGGGCGUCGCCGACCUGUUGAUGUGAGUGGGGCGAAGUAGAAGGUGGAAAUUUUGAAAAUAAGUACGUGCACAAUAACAUAUGAGUCCCAUAUGUAAGAAAUUUAUGAAGACUAAGAUAUGACGACUCUGAAUUUGCACGUCGUGUGUCCAGCCUCGAGAACAUUAUGGAGUGGAGCUUUAUAAUAUAGCAACCCCGAAUAUGACGACUAUGCUAGAGUUGCUCUUACAUCGGAGUGAGACGCAUGGAGUGUGUUUUUUUCCUAGCACAAGUUUGAUAAGUGAGGGUCUCAGUAACUAGUGGCCUGUGGCAAAGUUGAUGAUGCUCAUUUUAUUGUGGGGCAAAUGGCAAGGUUUUGCAGGCAGCAUACACUUUGCCUAGGUAUCCUUUGUUUUGUUUUUCCAACAUGCUCAUGUGCAGUGCCCCAAAGAAACAGAAAUCCUUGCUUAUGUGUAGCAGUGCUGUGCAGGGCAUUGUGCUUAAUCAGCACAAGAUGCCACGGAGAGGAAAGGAAAUGAAAGCAUGUAGGCAGGGCCCCCUCAACACUAGUAGUAACACUGUGAGAGCGAUCGCUUGCCUCGAGGUCAAAGCCUACAAAAGUCCAAGCAAGAGACUACUGGGGCUAAAGCUCUUUGCAAUCCGAAUAUGUUUUCAGGCUUGCAUGGUUAACGUUGGAGUUGUUUACGGUUGCUUUGGCACCUUCUCAUCGCGUACGUUCGUAGAUUACAAGGGACGUCGUCCUCAUGCUUUCAGCCGUUCCCGAUGCCCGGGUCAAUCGCAAGGCUCAUCCCCACCAUCCCAGUUUUGGUGACAUGGCCGGGUCGGGUGUCUGCCCUGCUUAGCAUUUCUUUUUCAACAAAGGGCAAUAUACAUCAUUUUUGUAGGAAAGGAAAAUUUAUUACUCAAAUAGACUUGUUAGACAAUGCCUGUAAUCUCAUCCGCAUAUAAUAAUAUCAAGACCAUAUCAAUUCCACCAAACCUCUGCAACAACACAAUAUCGAGCCAAGUUGAGACAAUUUUUUUAUUCUUGUCAUUGCUCCUCCCUCGUCAGAGCCGGGGAAACAUUGUUGUAGUAAACAGUCAGGAAGUCGUCGUGUUAAGGCCCCACAGGACCAGCGCGCCAGACAGUAAUCAUCGCCGAUGAAGAGAAUCGUAGAUCGGAAGGAUCCAACAUGCAGAUACACAGAAAUAGACGGACGAAGACCGGAUCCACUGAAGGCAAACGCCGACCGGAUCCCACGAGAUCCGCAGGAGACACACCUCCACGCUCCAUCCAACGAUGCUUGAAGCAUCACCAGGACGGGGGCUAGGUCGGGAGAACCUUAUUCCAUCUUCAAGAAGUCGCCACCGCCUUGUCUUCUUGAGCAUGGCACAAACCCUAACAAAACUUAGAAAACACCUAAAACGGAGCCCUCUCGGGCAAGGGCCGGGAUCCACCGCACCUCCGUGGUCCAAGGACCAUAGGAGACGAGGCGGGUCGACGGUGGUGCCGGCGAGAGGCAGGGAAACCCUAGAAUAGAGUUCACAUGAGGCCACAAGAAAACAACCUACACAUGAUAACUAAUUAAGCAAGUAAUAACAACUACUCCCUCCCUUCCUAAAUAUAAGUCGUUUAAGAUAUUUCAAUACGAACUACAUACAGAUGUAUAUAGACGUAUUUUAGAAUGUAGAUUAACUUAUUUUGCUCUAUAUGUAGUCAAUAUUGGAAUCCCUGAAAGUGCUUAUAUUUAGGAAUGGGGAGAGUAGUAAAGUUACGUUUAGAAACAACCGAAAGUGAUGGGGACAAAGAUGUAAUUUGAAGUCCACACUCCUGGGAAAUGUUAAUCUAUAUUGAAGAGGUGCGGCACAACGAAUUCUCCUACGAAAACGAAUGUCCAGAGCCGGUCAUGAGGUUUCGGUGGCCCGGGCGCCUCAUUAUAAAGGUCAAAAUAACAAUCCAUAUGCAAUAUCUAAUACGUGGAUAAAUUAUUUUAUACUUAUUACCAUAAAAUUUUCUUAUAACAUUCCAAACUGCAAAGGUUGAUGAUGAUGGUAUCAAUAUUAAUGUGAUCUAACAAUUGCUUCUCAAUGCAGAAGUUGGUCUAAAGGAAUCUAACAAUACAUUUACUAUGUGAUUCCUCAACUCAUGUUCUUUUUUUCCUUUUUUUCCUCUAUCAAAUAUAUACUCGUUAGAUGAUGUGACAUUUUUUAAAGAAUGGUUAGUAAUUAGACCUAGCUCAAAGCUAAUAAAAUCAUAAAUUUAUCGUGCAAAAUCAAUUAGUCAUGACAAAAUAGCAUAGACAAACCCGUCUAAGAAAGAUGUCGAUCGGAUCCAAACAGGAUCACUGAAGACCAAUGCCGACCGGAUUCAAGAAGAUUGCCGGAGACACCUCCACACACCCUCCGUCGACACUAGGCGCACUGCUGGAGUGGAAAUAGGACAUGAUGAGCAUAAUUUAAAUCUAGGUCGCUGCCUGGCCGCCCUAAUCUGGACACUAAAACUACCUAAAGCAAGGAUGGGAUCCCUCCCACCAGCGCGCGCGGGGUGGGGGGAGGGUCCACCGCACCUCCAAGGACCAUAUGUCCGUCGGAGGGAGGACGGACCGGCGGUGGUGCCGGGGGCAAGAGAAAUUGCUUGUGGAAGGAGAGGGAACGUUUCAUACUAUGGCCAUAGAAACAGUAUAGAUUUGAUGACCUCCCUCCAUUCUUAAAUACUAUGAGUCUUUUUAGAGAUUUCAAUAUGGACUACAUAUGAAGCAAAAUGAGUGAAUCUACACUCUAAAGUAUGUCUAUAUACAUCCGUAUGUAAUUUAUAUUGAAAUAUCUAAAAAAAGAUUUAUAUUUAGAAACAGAUGGAAUAGUACAAUAUGAAUGCUUAUUUCUAAGAUCGAACCAUCACUCUACUCAUCAGCUGAUAAUUUAGCAUCUCUUGCUGCGUGCGGUAAUAAUAAUAGGACUAAUCCACCCAAUCAUUGUGAGCACCAAAACGCAUCCAAAAACCCCUUUGGCUUGUGAUGUGACCUCCAUUAUUUUUCCCUCCCUCCUUCCCAGACGACUCUCUUUCCUUGCCUUUAAAAGUCCAUCUCUCCCGGUCUCUUCCGAUGGCACAAGUUCGUACUGCUUGCACACCCACUACAGUCUCGGUGUAUCGUCUCACUUGUCUUUACGUGCCAAGCCCAGGAGUUUCCCCUUCUUUUGCUUUCCUUCCCUUUUUUCUUCUUUACUUCCAGAAAUUUCUACUCUUUUCCAUAAAUCCUUUUUAGGGAACCUUCCUUUAUGUAUGCAUACAUGAAAGAGGGAAUAUGUCUACACCAAAAGAAAAGUUAAUAAAGAAAUUAUACUCGCACCGCUCGUUCGUCCUUUCUCCUUUUGUUAACAGUGCCCUUUUGUGUGUGUGUGUGUGUGGAGGCAGGGAGGCAGGCUGGUCCACCAUGGAAUUAGAAUGAGUAAAAGUCAAAUCCAUAUUGCACCAUGCCAACAAGGCUGCCGAGUCAUCCUAUCACCCCUUUCUUUUCAUGCUUUGCCACUCGUACUUUUUCCCUCACUCACAUGCAUCUACAAGAUUGAUCACAUGGAUUCUAAUCAUGUCUAUUACUACUAGAACUCUAAUUGAUUCGGCCUAGCCUCUUGUGUAUUUCUCUUUGUUUUCCCGUUUUAUUGAUGUUAUUUACUGAUGCAUGAGAAUACAAGUGAAUAAAUUGUAGAGUACGGCUGAAAUGUGUGGUCAAAUCAACAGUUCACAAUCAACCCUAGCCGUCGCCGCCGCCCUCACUCUUCUACCCACCCGUUGCCGUCGGAGGACGCUGGUGGACAAAGCCCACUCGGCCGACGGUUGCGGCGGAGUUGCCUUCUCACGCAGGGGAGCGCUUGCUGACCAUACGACAUGGUGGCCCCGGACGGUGUGGCGUACACAAUGGAACUUGGACGUCGAGACGACGACCACGGGCACUCUAGGAGGUGUCGAGCUGCGGUGCUAGGUGGCCAGCGGUGCCGGGCAUGGACAACUUUCGACAAUCAGAUGUAGCAGUGAACCAUUGGCGACUGUUAGAGUCCAGGACACCGACGGCAUCUCAUCUUGGAGUACACACAAAGAUAUUACCAGAUCAAUAGCUUCCAUGUAUGGUUACGGGCUUGUGUUGUAAUUAAACUCUGUAAUCAUCUCAUGCUAUAAAAUAUAUGAGGAGGCUUGCCGAGGCUGGCAUUGAGCCGCCCGGUAUUUUCCCUAUUGCAUGGUAUCAGGCCGAUCGGUCCUCUCCUACCUCAAACUCGAUCGCACACCCUAAUCGCCCUCCUCACCGCCGCUACUUCCCUCAGCCUCCACCCUCCCUCUCACCAUGAACGCUGACGAUCUGAAGAAGCUUGAAGAGGAGCUGAAGAACCGCGAGUCCAUCGUACGGGCUCGUGAGGAAGAACUCAAGCGUCUUGACGAGGAAAAAGGAAAAACUGUCCUCAUCCGUGCUCCGGCACCCUCGUCUUCCGCCGCCUCCAUCAAGAUGUAUGUUCCCAUCACUCUGGAUCUUUCGGACUCCAACUACGUCAAGUGGCGUGAGCUGUUUCUCGUCGCCCUCGGACGCUACGUCCUCUCCAACCACGUCGUCGGCGACGCCGCCGCCACUCCGUCCGACACUUCGCCUACCUCCGAUUGGGGGCGAGACGACUUCACGGUGCUCUCCUGGAUAUACGGCUCGAUCUCCAUCGAGCUUUUUGGCAUCAUCAUGGCUCCCGGCUCCACGGCGCGGCAGGUCUGGGACUCCAUCGCCAACCUCUUCCAUGACAACAAGAAAAGCCGCGCCCUAGCACUUGAUGCCGAGUUCCGCAACACACCUCAAGGAGACAUGUCCAUCCACGACUACUGCGCCAAGCUCAAGUCUCUUGCCAAUGCUCUCAGCGACGUCGGCCAGGACAUCACCGAUGAGACUCUCGUCCUCACAGUGCUUCGCGGUCUCAACGAACAGUUCAACCAUCUUCGGUCUUUUCUUCCGUUCCAACUGUCGUUCCCUUCGUUCUUGCAGACGCGUUCCGCGCUCGUCCUCGAGGAAACGCAGAAGAAGACGGACGCCAAAAAUGCGGCCGCUACGGCGUUAUGGGCAAGCGGCAACAGCGUUCUCCCUCAGGCUGGCGGAGAGCGUGCUCCUACUCGUGGACAUGGUGCCGGCUACAGCAGCAACGACUCUCGCACUGCCCACUCCCACCCCAUCGUGCCCUACACCAACUCUGGCCGUGGUGGUGGAAGCAGCGGCCGCCGCGGGCAUGCCGGCGGCCUCUGAUGCAGCCGCGACAACCCAUGGAUGUUCAAUCCAUGGACAGGCCUCCCGACUCGUGCGCAACAUCAACAACAGGCUCCCAUCAUGUCGUCCCAGCCUUGGUGGCGUGCUCCCAACGCCGGUGUUCUGGGCCCCCGACCCAGUCCUGCUCCUGCUUCCUUUCAGGCGUAUGCUGCCUACAGCCCCCAGCACACCAACAACAACCCCAUGAUGCCGUCUCCAUCUGCUGGCUAUCCAGAAGGCCAACAACAGCCGCAGCUUGAUCCAGCACUCCUCAAUGCACUACAGAACAUGCAUCUCCCCGGACAUCAAGAGUGGUACAUGGAUUCUGGGGCGUCCUCUCACAUGGCAUCUGAUCACGGUAUACUUUCCUCCUCCCAACCCUCCUCUGCUCACACCGUCACCGUUGGUAAUGGUGCAUCUCUUCCGAUCUCACACAUUGGCUCACACACACUACCUUCUCUUUCUAAACCUUUAUAUCUUAACAAUAUUUUUGUUGUUCCGCACAUCAUAAAAAAUCUUCUUUCUGUUCGAAAACUUACCACCGACAAUUUUGUUUCAAUCGAAUUUGACCCUUGGGGUUUUUCUGUGAAGGCACUUCCUACCAGGAUCGAGAUUCUUCGAUGCAAUAGUCCCGGCCCACUCUACUCCGUCUGCCGCCCCACACCACCCGAAGCACACGUCAUCACCACCACCCUCGACCUUUGGCAUCGGUGACUUGGACAUCCCGGUCACCACACUAUGAAGCGUCUUCAGAGUUCUCAACUUAUCUCCUACAACAAAGUCGUGCCGCCCCUUUGUCAUGCUUGUCAACUUGGGUGACAUGUUAGAUUACCGUUUUACUUUUCUGUUUCAUCCACUAGCAAACCUUUUGCUUUAUUACAUUGUGAUCUUUGGACCUCUCCAAUUCCUAGUACGUCCGGAUUUGUCUGUUAUCUUAUUAUAGUUGAUGAUUUUACUCAUUAUUUUUGGACGUUCCCGCUACGCAAGAAAUCGGACGUGUAUGCUACUCUUCUUGCUUUUCAUGCCUACGCCCGCACACAAUUCGAUUUAUCUAUUUUAGCCUUCCAAUGUGAUAAUGGACGGGAAUUCGAUAACACUAAAAUAGAUACAUUCUGUGCCACCCAAGGUAUCCUUCGUCGCUUCUCAUGUCCAUACACUUCCCAACAAAACGGCAAGGCCGAGCGAGCCAUUCGAACCACCAACAAUGUCAUUCGUACUUUGUUAGUUCAAGCCUCUCUUCCUCCAUCCUUUUGGGCUGAAGCACUACACACUGCCACCUUCCUCAUAAAAAUACGGCCAACCUCUUCCAUCAAGUUUCUCACACCAUAUGAAACUCUUCUUGGCUCACCACCUUCAUACGACUCUCUUCGUGUCUUGGGUUGUCUUUGUUAUCCCAACACUACAUCUACCUCUCCCAACAAACUAUCCCCUCGCUCUACCAAAUGUAUAUUUCUUGGCUACCCAACACGUCACAAAGGCUAUCGUUGUCUUGAUCUAACCACAAGGCGAAUCAUUAUAUCUCGCAAUGUUGUUUUUGACGAGUCAUCCUUUCCCUAUGCACCACUGCCAUCUCCUUCCCCACCACGGUGCACUGAAAUUUUUGAUCCACCAGAACCUGUACGUGUGCUCGCUCCCACCUCUAUGCAUGCCCCUAUUAUGCAUGCACCCACUAUGCAUGCACCUAGUAGCCCCCCAUCCACACCCCCCUGUUCCAACCAGCCUUCUACACAACCUGCUGCUAGUCCACCCGCUAACACUCCCUCCUAUUCCUCCUCUCCCAACGGGUCACAACCAAGCCCACCUCCGGUGGCCUCCCCAGUUCCCGUACCACCACAGCCCACGCCCAUCAUCCAUCGCACACGAUCUACAACUGGCCGACUUCCUCCACCCAUCGACCGGCUUAAUCUAUCAGCCAUUGCCUCUUCCCCUAUCCCACACAACUAUCUCACGGCAUUGCGUGAUAUUAACUGGCGUCAAGCAAUGCAAGAAGAGUUCGAUGCUCUCCUCCUAAACCAAACAUGGACACUUGUCCCUGCUCCUCCUGGUGCAAAUAUUGUGAGCGGAAAGUGGAUCAUUCGCCACAAAUACCAUGCUGAUGGCUCUCUUGCUCGUCACAAAGCUCGUUGGGUCGUUCGUGGUUUUUCUCAACAACCCGGCGUGGAUUUUGAUGAAACCUUCAGUCCAGUUGUUAAACCCGCAACCAUUCGCAUUGUACUCUCCCUUGCUAUAUCUCAAUCUUGGCCCAUUCACCAACUAGAUGUAAAAAAUGCUUUUCUUCAUGGUCAUCUCGAUGAAGUUGUCUAUAGUCAGCAACCCUCCGGUUUUGUUGAUCCUCAUGAGCCCACUCAUGUAUGUCGCCUACAUAAAUCUCUAUAUGGUCUCAAACAAGCUCCUCGUGCAUGGUUUCAGCGUUUUGCCGCGUUUGCUCGCACUAUUGGGUUCACUGAAUCCAAAUCUGAUGCCUCUCUUUUUAUCUUUCACCAUGGCACCAAUCUCACAUAUCUUCUUCUUUAUGUCGAUGGCAUCAUUCUUACAGCCUCCAGGUCGUCUACUCUAGCUACUAUCACCAACGCAAUGACACGCGAAUUUGCUAUGAAGGAUCUCGGCCCCCUACAUCACUUCCUUGGCAUCUCUGUCACACAUACAUCCACUCGAAUUCAUCUCUCUCAACGUCCAUACAUUCUUGACAUCUUGUCUCGCGUUGGCAUGCGCGAUUGUCAUCCAGUCACCACCCCUAUUGACACCAAAGCAAAGCUCUCUUCCACCUCCGGGUCCUCUGUUGCUGAUCCUUCUUUGUAUCGUAGCUUAGCUGGCGCUCUCCAAUAUGCUACCCUCACUCGCCCUGACAUUGCUUACGCGGUCCAACAAGCAUGUCUCCAUAUGCACGAUCCACACGAUCCACAUCUUUCUCUCAUCAAAUGUAUUCUUCGAUAUCUCAAAGGCACCCUCGAUCAUGGUCUUUCUUUGCAUCGUACUUCUUCACACUCUCUUAUUGCCUACUCCGAUGCCGACUGGGCUGGAUGCCCGGAUACACGACGCUCUACAUCCGGAUUCUGCAUGUAUCUUGGGGACAAUCUCAUUUCAUGGUCAGCACGAUGACAGACCACUGUCUCACGCUCCAGUGCGGAAGCAGAAUAUAGGGCAGUUUCCACAGCCGUCUAAGAGUCAUGUUGGGUACGGCAACUCUUACAGGAACUUCGACGACCGAUAUCAAGUGCCACCAUUGUCUAUUGUGACAACGUCAGUGCUGUAUACUUGUCCGCUAACCCUGUUCAGCAUCGUCGGACCAAACAUAUUGAACUGGAUAUUCACUUCGUUCGGGAGAAGGUCGCACUUGGCGACGUUUGCGUGUUACAUGUGCCCUCCUCCUCUCAGUUUGCAGACAUCUUCACAAAGGGCUUACCUACUGCUCUCUUUCAAGAGUUUCGCUCCAGUCCUCAGGUCGAGUCAUCUCCCAGUUCAGACUGUGGGGGCGUGUUAGAGUCCAGGACACCGACGGCAUCUCAUCUUGGAGUACACACAAAGAUAUUACCAGAUCAAUAGCUUCCAUGUAUGGUUACGGGCUUGUGUUGUAAUUAAACUCUGUAAUCAUCUCAUGCUAUAAAUAUAUGAGGAGGCUUGCCGAGGCUGGCAUUGAGCCGCCCGGUAUUUUCCCUAUUGCAGCGACAACUCGACGGCCUAGUCGACGGUGGCAACACCAAUGUGGUAGCACACAAAGUGGUGCGUCAAUAAGCCGGGGUGGUGCGCCUACAGCCUGAGGCGGCCACAUAGUUGACACCAUGCCUCGGCGUCGUUGUCGUCGGCGACCUCUGGCACAUUUGCCCUGGAGCACGUGCAUGUGAGUUGAAGUUGCCAACGACGUUUGGCUCUCCACACUCUGGGAUCGUUCUCUGUUCGGAAGUAUGGAUUUGGGCGCAUGGUGAUAUCCAUGCCAAAGGUAUGCAGGUGAGCGAUUGCCUCUCGACAUGUAUGUCGUGGAGUGAUUUAUUUCAGUUUCCAUGACCAUGGUGUAUUUGCCCCUCCAUGCCAAAGAUAACUUUGGCUUGGUGGUAGGGGUGUUGAACUUCGAGGUGAAAACCCAUGGUCCGACAUUCGAUGGUCGCACCUUGCCAGGACGGUGUUUACUCAUGGUGUCUUUGCUGAAGACAUUGUUUUGGAGUUUGCUCAGACGUGCUCGAUGGGGUGAAGAUAUGGCAAUGUUUCCUUGAUGCGUUGCUUUUGAAGAACCUUAGUUGUAGAGUUGUGCAGCCCUAUUUUCUCGUCUGGGGGCAAAUAACUAAUUUUCUUUCAAUCUGAGCACCCUCUAAAAACAUUCUUCGUCAUAGUUUUCUACUGUAUUUUGCCCAACGUCGGAACAUUUCCUCCCGUAGUGCUCGACCCCAACCUCAUUAUUAGUCAUGGCACAUGAACACAGACAUUCCAUCAGUUUUAAUGCCAACGCAGUAGUAGUAUGCAGCACACAAUCAAGGCACCAUCAUCAGAGAGAACAAGUGAUCAAGGUUUAUCCACAUUUAUUUAGAUAAAAUGAGAAGCCAGCAAGGGGGGCAUUAAUCAAUGCAGAUGUAGAUAGAGCUCAUGGGAAGUGGGGAAUUGCAUUCAUGGCGCCGUCGUAGAGAGGGAGCAAGCUGAAGAUGGAGCAAACUUGCCCUGCCGCCUACCUUGUCCCUCCUCCAUGAGAAAUGCUACUCCAAGAACCAUCAAUGGCUAAUCUCCCUACCUCCUCCCCCCUACAGGAACCGUCUUUCUCCAGCCGCAUUGCAAAAUUACACCUUUUCUACUUCUCCCCCCUGGCCGGCUUCUCAUUACGGCCUUCCCUGAUCGCCGGCUAUUGUUCUACGGCGAGCUAUAGGUAGUAGCUAGUCCGGCGCCGCGGGGCGGAGUUGGCAUCUAACGCCAGGCGUCGCGGCUCUCCUCGUCUGGUGGAAGCAUCGCCGUGGCGGUGGCGCGCUUGAGCGGCCGGCCGGGGGGCUCUGGGGAGGACGACACGGAGACUGACCCCGGCCACGCAGUGGCGGCGCCGGAGCGUGAGUCCGCGCUGCUGGACGAGCUCUCGCAGCUGAAGUAUGCCGCCGCGCCGAUCACGCCGCUCGGGCUCAGCGGCGGCGAGUGCAGCCCCGCUGCCGCGCGCUUGCGCUUAUUGUCGCCGCCGAAGCCAAUGAAGCCCGCCGCGACCUCCCCGGAGAGGAUCUUG